AUAUAUAUAUAUAUAUGCAAGUAUCCGUUUUUCUUUUUUUACAAAGUCACAAACAAGCUCUCUGCCAUCAACACGCCUUCAUACGGAUGCAGUGUGAGCUGGUGCAACACUAAUACUUACAUUUGAGUAGUUGGUGGGGGGGCAGUGCCUGGCCUGAGGGCCCCUCAGCCGGCAUUGUUAUGGGUAGAGGGAAUAUUCAACAACUUUGACCCUGCCACUUUUCCCCUGUACACCAGCAUGUUACACCAGCAUGUCAUUGUGUUACAGCUCUAUGACAGUGGCCUUUUCCUUACAAACUGAUAGCACGUAAGCCUUGUUCUUUCCACGUUGUUACAGAGCCCAGAAGAGGGAUGCUGCACCGGAGCAUGACUGAAUAUUUCAGCAGAGCAGAUGGCCAGGACUUUGUCAGAGCUCAGGACAAAAUGGAAAAAUAUCCAGAUACCAGAUUUUACGCUCCCAGACGGUUUGCUGCAACAUUUUGACCAAUGGGGAAUUGCUUAGCCGUGCAGAUGUUGUGUUACGUUUUACCGAGCAUUGAAUUGAGAUGUAAUGAGAUGACUACCAUAAUGUUUAUGGGGGCAAUUUAGAGUUUGCGAAAUAAUCAAGAAUCAGGAAUAAGGACCAUUUAUUGAAAAAUAAUGUGUUAGACAUACAAGGAAUUUGACACUUGUGGGUUGGUGCAUAACAAUAAGACAAUGAGGUAGUGAACAACAAGACAAAUAACACAGUGAAAGGGGGGAUAAGGUUAAAGGUUAGUCUAAAUGACUGCUCACUAGACUCAAUCCACAAUAAGUCCGGCUAAAGCUAAAUUCAUUUUGCACGGUAGACAAGAUUAGACAGUGAACAUUGUCGUCAUGCAGCGGUAAACAUUCUUACCUCAAAGUAUAAUAGUGGAAUAUAUGAGUACAGACCGUCAAAAUCUGAACCAGGUUGUUAGAAACAUUUAUAUGAACUGACUUACAUAAAAAAUUAUAAGCAUCCUAAAUAUUCUUCCAUUCAAAUGUGAUGUUUUCUUAUUACUUUUUGCAACUAAUCCUAAUCUGGAUGGGAGCUUCACACUUCUGUGAAAGCCCUCGAUAAUGAGUAUUUGAAGAGGGAAUGACUACGUAAUGGAGCUGGGGCGAGGAUUUAACAUCAAGUUGAAAGCUUUUUUUUUAGUCUCCUCAGUCUUUAAGGAGGAACACACCAACACGGUUGUUUGUACCCGGUUGUGGUUUAAGUUUCUGAAUUAUUUAAAGUUGUCCUUGUGCUCUCCUCUUUGGAGGUGGUAAUGCUAUAAUACCAAAGUUGUACACCCAAUUAGAGUAAAGUUGGAUCCCUGAAUCCCACGCCAUAUUAUGAGGAUCAUUAAAUCCUGGAAGAAAAACUCCCUCAUCUGAUUAGAUAAAGAGUGUUGGUUUCUCAGAUAAUGCAGACAUGCAAUGGGAGGAGAGGCAACAAUUUACAUCAACAAAUCAACCAAAAAACAUUUUUUCUGAAAAUCAUGUGAGUUAUCAUUGGCAAAUCAAACGCCGACUACAAUUAGUAUGAAACUUUGUCUGAUUGUCUGCACGAACGCUCUGUUUCUCUUUCUGACGCACACACCCGCACGAACGCACGCACACAAUCCUAUCAAAUAGACACUCCAAUUGAUGGAGCUCUCUGUAUUUGAAGGAGGCCCAACUCAUUAGGGUGAUUGUCUGAGAAGCACUUUUGACCACAGAUCAUCGAGUACAUAAUUGCUCCUAGAUGUGCAGUGAGGAGAACAACAGUGUGUGUGUUUGUCGCUUGUUUGUGUGUCAGAGGGAGUUUAUUUCUCAUCUAGAUGGGGAUUAGAUCUUUGUUUCGACUUUUUUUUUUUGUCCGUAUCGCUAAAGUCUGGUUAUUUUCAAAUAAAAAAUGGGCGGAGACAGUGAUUUAUAAUCGGCAUUUCUUUCAGAGUUUCAGAGGAUGUAAAAAAAGCUUUUUACUAAGUUAGUUAUUGAAUAUAACAUUUCAUCUGAUGGAGGAUGGCAUUUUCAUGACACACUAUAAAUUGCCGGGUUAGCUUUAGUUGACAAAAUGACUGAUGAUUCAGCACAUUACAAGGACAAAAGAAAAAUCUGCAGCAAAUUGUUCAACAUUUUUGUGUUUAAUGCCAAAAUUAUUAAUGCAGUUGUGCGACGUCUCGUUAGUCUCGUCAUGGGUCUUUCAAUGUGUGUGUGUGUGUGUGCGUGUUUCCCCUGAUUGCACUCAUCCUACUCACCUGCAUGGUCCACCCAGCAGCUCAUAUAUACUCCUGUGUUCCUUGCUCCAGUUGUCAGAUUGUCGCGGCGUUCCCUUUAGUGUGCGCGUUGUGGCUCCAGUGCCGAUCCCUCAUGUUUCUUUAGUGACUUCUGACUUAUCUAGUUUUUUGCACCGCUCCUGGUUGGAGUCAGGUUUUUUUUGUCCUUUUGUUUAUUGCCUUUGGUGACCGGUAAAGAACCAUCUCUUUUUCAACUUCAUCUCGUCUCCAGUGCCGGUCUCUGCUCUUGGGUCCCAACCCAGCCUUGAACCGUGACAAGCUGCUCAAUGGCGCAGAUGUGUACAUAAUGCAUUAGCUCCAGGCAGAAGGUCAAUGAAUCAUGAUUGAGGCUUUGAAUACCAGCGUCAUUGGGAGGAAUCUGUCUGCCAUUGCUUCUGUCCUUCCCUUUCAUUAUCUUGUUUUCAUAAGGAGGACUGGCUAGAUGUUGAUGGAAGAGGUUUAUGUGGCAGUGUGCGAAGAGACACAAGGAGAAAAAUAAAUGGGGAAAGUGUGAGGGGAAAAAUCAACAGAGAAAUGCAAAAUCUACGUUAACACAAACUAUCUGCAUUGUUGCGGUUGAUUGACAGAAUAUUGUAUUCCCGACACCAGUUUAGCAAAGAAACUACUCCUUGGAGAGCUUUUGUAAGGCACCUACAUCCUCCCUCACGAUCUUACACCCGCUGUUUACGUAUUGUGUUCAGUCUGUUUGAUUCGAGCCAACUUGUGUUUGUGCUGAUUAAUGAACAUAAUUAAUCACAAAAGUGUUGUGGAUUUAUUUUAGGAUAAACAAUGUUAUUAAUGGCAAAAAUUAAUCUUGAUUUAACAAGAGAGUAGUUGAGACGUUUAGUCGCGUAUGGCGUGAUCUCCCACUCAUUUGCUGUGGGGUCGACAAACAACAGGCGACCGGUAUAAAAUGGCAGAUGUUUGUGAUUAAAGGGGAGCGGCGUGCCAGUUGGAAGCUGGGUUUCCAUCCUGGCAAGAAUAUUCUAUUUUAAAAAUGAAUCAAUGAACUUUGAGGCUAAUGAGUCAUUUCAAAAGAAUGGGCAAUUUCACAAAUGAUGCAUGCUUAGAUUUCAUGAACAAAAUCUAUAUGAAUGCUGAACAAAUUUGAUAUUGUACACGUGGCGAUUGCUCCAGGAAAAAAAACCCAAAGAGUAGUGAGCGCAUAGAUAGAUUGAUCAAUCAUAAAUAUAGGUCAUUUAUUCUGAACCUAUGGCCAAAUAAUGGGUAAAUUCACAGGCACCUAUCAGGAAGGAUGUAGCGCCUGACGAUGGAGUGCAACAGAACAUGCAUUUAGUAUUUCUACCACAUCCCUUCGUCCUCUACACACUCUUUACAAAAACCCAUCACAUUGCAGCACAUUAUGGGCAGGCUGGAUCGAGCAUACUGCAAGUCUCAACAGGAAAUCAUUAGCAUUGGACUCACCACGUGCCCGGGUUCAUGCCAAAGUGACCUUUCCAGAAAAUAAAUAAUGGGAAAUAGUUUUAAAUUCAUGGACCGAAAAUACAUGCAGAUUCUCUGCAGAUUCUCACAGACACACAUUUCUUGCUCAUGUUUGUGCAGCGUGUGCGUGUGUGUACAAUCAAGUCAGAAAAAAAUGACCGACUUUGUAAGCGAUUGCGCAAUCGUAAAGCAAAAGGAGCAAUCCAACCUUUACAGGGACGAAGCAUUAAGGACAUCGAUGUGAAGGGCAAAUGGGUCAGACGUGACCUCCACCGACCAAUUAAAUGUGUUACAGCCACGGCAGCCUGUAUAGUCUCUCCAUUGGAAACUGCGAUUUCCCCUCCUCAGUCAAGACUGACGACGAACAUGAAAAUAUAUUUGCAGUGAUUUUUGUCUGCAGUAAAAAUACUUUUGUGAAAGUAACGCAAAACACUCGUAGAGCAGCUCCUCCACCGCUCGGUCGGGAGAUGUGGAAUGGAGUGGUCAUGCAUGGAGGAGGGCUAUUCUUGAGAGACCUCGCCGCUGGAGAGUAAAUCAUUUAAACCAGCGCAGGCACACAUACUCAAACAUGCUCAUGGAAGUGGUCAGAGAGGGAAUGAGAGCACACCAGGGGAGCAUUUGCUGAGAAAGAAAAUAAAUGCUGAAACGCAUUAACAUUUAUUUAUACUCUAUGUUAUAUUUGUGUACAUGCAUACUCUGAAGCAGGAAUCAUACCCUGUUGUUCUGAAACUCUAAACUGGUCGACUCAAGAGACUUAGUCUAAGAUGAUGAGCAGAGUAAAAAACUAUUUCUUCUACAUUUAAAACUCCCCUCGAUGAUUUCCUUAUGGGAUUCAGCUUAGUGCAGUUUCUAAAUAAAAUUGUCAAGAGAAACGCUUCAAAGGUAAAGAAAAUAUUUUCUAGCAAAACCGUAAUGUUGUCGCUUUUCAUGGCAUUGUGUUCAUUUGAAGAAAAAUCCUCACAACAAAUAGUCUUCCGAUGCAUGUAAGAACCCAGGACGUCUGUAAUCCUGUAGUUGGAGGACAGAGCAUACUCAGAGCAAGUUGACAUUUAGCAGCACAAAAACAUAUUUUGUGGUAAACACAUUAGGACCCACUCAGUACACACAUCUUCAGGUACACACCAACCAAUCUGCCGUGUGAAUUUGCAAGCUGACCCUAAAUGUAAGUUUCAUUUUGGAUUUUCUUUGCAAAUGCAAAACUUCAUAAUGUAAACCAGAUUUAUUUUUCUCAUGAACUUGUUUUCCAAAUAAUUCUGUCACUUUUUACUCAGUUUUUCUUAGAACACCUCAGCUCUGUAAUUAGUAUGUUUUAACCUUGAUGUUCCCCAACUGAAGGCCAUAAUAAUUUUGAUGUAGAUGAUUUGAACAAUUUACGAGUAUCCGCAUAUUACAUAUUUGCGUUAGACACAAAGUGCAUCAGAGAUCUGGUUAUGAUUCCAUGGGUUCCGAACCUUAUUAUUUCACAAAAGAUUCAAGAUUAAAGGUGAAGUGGUCCUUCUGAUCCUAACAUUUUAUUGUCUGGUGGCCGCAAAUGUCAGUGACAAAUUUUUGGGAACAAAGACAUUAAAUCAGAAUUAAAAAUGUUAAGAUUAUUGGUAAUGCUUCAAAAUAAUUCGAACACAUCUUCUGUAAAACCUAGAUAUCCAUACAAAAUCUGACGCCAAUUCAUCAAGUGGACUCAAAAAUGUUAUUCUAAAUACGUGCCAAUGUUGACCUGGCACCUGGACCAAAGACCUGCCAUCUUCUACUUUUGAUGGAAACAGUUUGACUGUUUAUGUGUAGUUAAAAAUCUAGCAGUUUUUUUGUUUUUGUUCAUGUUGUACUUUUUUAACAUUUCUUGUUGAUACUUGAGGCAAAUUUAUUGUUCCACUUGAGAGGUGCCAUUUAAAAAAAAAAAUUGUGGCAAUAACAUCAAUUGUAUAAUGACGACAAAUAGCCACCAGCGAAAAAAGAAGAGCAGACUGUAAAAUCAGCGAACCAGCAAUCAGAAUGGAAAUGAAGUGGCACGAUGGAGUUUUUCGAGGAUAGUUGCUAAACAUACUGCUACAUCAUUUAAUAUGCAGUCAUUUGAGACCAAAUAAACCACAAAUGAAGAUCAAAAGCUACAUUAAUCUGGUGCUUUAUGGCAGAGCAGCCAUUCACAGCAGGCGUGCGUCCUAAACGACCCAUAAAGAAUAAAAGUGAGGGCGACUCACCUGGGACAGAGAUGAUCUACCGAGAUGUUCCGGAGAAUGAUUGCUCAGCUUGAUUCCGGAGCUAAUUGGAUGAAAACCAAAGUAAUACUGAGACUGAGGUUUAAGUUUUGGCAGACCAAUCAAGGCAAUAACUAAAUCAGUAUCUUAUCAGGGUGGAGCACUGAAAUGGUCUCUUGUCAGGUCUUCCCCAAAAGAUUUAGGUUUUCACACAGAAUGCUGCUGCCAGUAUUACGACUAAGAAAACUGGGCACUUUGCUCCUGUUCUUAAAUCUUGACUCUGGCUCACAGGGACUUUUAGAAGAGGUUUUAAAGUGCUGCUGUUCGUCUAUAAAACAUUCAAUAAACUUGGGCUAAAGUACAGUUCUGAUCUCCUUGAAGCACAAAGGGCCUAUAUAUCUUGACGGAGCAGUGAAUGAGUUCUUGAAGUAGCUACGCUCUCGAAAUUGCUAAAAAAACUGCCAAUUUCAAAUCAAACUUCAAAAGUAUGUUGCUCUUAUUUGCUUUUAGGGUUGGUUUUAACUGAACUUUAGUGUAUUUCCAGUGAAUUCUGUCUGUAUUUAAAAUUGUGCAUUUAUCCAUUAUAUAGUUUUCUAUUUUAAUAGAUUUGGUGUAUUGUUUUUAAAUGCAGUUGUAAUGCAUUUUUCGGCCUACGUAGAACACUCUCAAUUAACUGGCGUAUGAAAUUAGCUAUAUAAGUGAAGCUGCCUUGCCAUGUCACAGCAUCCCCUGCAUCGCUGUACGGCUUGAUGUUUGAAUAAAGCCAUAGGAAAAUCUCACAACGCAUCUGGGAGCCAAAGUCUGAUACACCGAUGAUCCGAGUCAGUGGGUUCAGUCAUUUCAGUCCAUGUUGGAAGAAUACUCUUCUGAUGUCUUCUUCCGGUGUCACACUUUCUAAACUGUAUGACGGAGGAACAACUGCAGAUAAACACUUGGUUUUGAAGUAGAUGCCCCCCUUGUUCAUGUCAGUAAUUGCAUUAUGUAUGUUUGGAAAAGUACAAUAUGUUCUGUGUGUAGAAUUUAACGGCAAACAAGAAAAGGGGGACAGAGAAAAGUAGCUUAACAGAGAAGUACAACAAAUUCAAUUUCUACAGAGGAUGCUGAGAACUGUGUGACUAAAAAAAUGAAAACGUCUCCGACAGAGUAUGAAUCCCAAUAUGCUGUAUGGAAAAUACAAUGUGUGAAAAAGACUAAUUUAGAUCUGUUAAAAGAAACUAGAAAACUCCAACCCCAAGAGAAUAAAGAGCUAAAAUCUUUGUUGUGCUGACAAAUUGCUUUUGAGGGUAGAAUUACAAAACUCAAAAGUUUGUGAAGUGCUUUGACGAACCAUCAAGCUGCAAAAGUAAGGCAAUAAAAAAAGCUGAAAGCUGACUUUCAGUUGAUGCCAGAAAGGAGGCAGUUAAAUCCAGACGAAGCCUCCGUUUCCUUUCAAUCUCUGUGUAAGGCGUUACGGCGACCAGCGAGAGAAUACAAGUUUACAGUUUGGAAGCAUAAAUCAAAUGAGCACAGCAACCAGCCAUUAUGUCAAUCAUCAUAACCCAAAGCCCUUUUGCUCAUUCUGUGCAUCCACAAACAUGUUGUUCAGAUCUCCAGUUGACUGAGGAAUAAUUUCUUACAAUAUCCCCAGAAUCAUAACCACAUCCCCAAAAAAUCCUAAUCACUUGCAUCAUCUACUAGUUAAAUUUACUUCCAAGACCUCCUAGGAGCAACACAGCUUGGUCAGAGCUCUAAAGUUUCAAACCAUGAUGCUCUUUGUACCCCUCCAGUGUCAGUCAGUAACACACAAUUGGCCUUUUUCUAAUGAUGUUGGGUUUGGGUAACAGCCUCUUUGUCAGUGAGGUUGAAGUAAAAUUGGCAUUGUUGUGAACUCUGGAAGUCAGAUAACUAAUUGGUAGUUUACAAUGAAAUUAUUUUUAUCCACUUCCUUGUAACAAAGUCAAAUGAGAAGCAGUUCUUCAGGGUGUCUUCACUUCUGUUUCCUGAACUGGGUGUGCAGAUUCCAUGCAAAAGGCUGGCAUCCAUCUGCCUCUCCGGCGCAAACCUAAAGAAAACAUGGAUAUCGUGCCUCCUGAGACCGAGUCGAGUCAUCAUGAAUAACCCACAAAACAUCUACAAUUUGCCACUAAUUUGGGAUACAAAACGUUCCAGCCCCUCAAACGGGAAGAGGAAACACUCCGAUGGUUUACCAUCAUUUGCAGGAAAGCACAGACUUAGCAGCUUAGAGAAGGGAGAUGGCCAUGAAGGCCAUAAUAAUAACCUCCAUAUAAAAUCCCAAACAGCCUGAUAUAUGCUGAAGCUGGAAGCCUCAGCACUCCAGAAGAUUAAUCAUCAACCUUUUUGAAUGUUGACUUUUGAAAAUGAUUUUGUUCUCUUACAUAACUGAUUUGUAUUACCUUUCAUUUGUAGAAUUACACAAACAUUUGUUACAAAUAAUUUACAGAUCAUAAGUAAUUGUUAAGCAUCUGUCAAUAAGGUAAUUUGCAAAUCAUUUUUAUUAAUAAAAACAUUGGAUUUCAGUUGGUAUCAUGAUCAUUUUUGAAUAAUUGUACUGAUUUACAAAUAUUCACACAAGACUGAGACUGUUCAACUGUGAUAAAAAAUUCAUCAAAAACAAUAGUGGAGUUCUUCCAAUGGGAUCCCUUCAUUACUAUGCCUCUAAUCAAACAUAAAGUAAUGGCUAAUGGCAAAUCCCUCAUUCCCUCAUCUUCCUCCUGAUUGUAAAGUGUCUACUCUACUCACAGAUGAUACGAUGUUGAUCAAAGUCACAUCUCUGUCCCUCAGACCAUUGGACCCGUGAUGGAGGUUUGACAGGAGGGUAUUAUUCUGACAGUCAAUAACAUUUAAUUAACAAUUUACCUUUGUCUGUGUUGCUACUAUAAUAAUAAACUUUACAACAAGAAGCAGUAAAGCGAGUAACUUUAACAGGGAAAGUGAUCGAGGAAGAGAUUUUGUGAUUUUAGAAAAUGCAGGCAAGCCUUGUUGUUUAACAUCCAUGACAAGAGCACUGGGAGUGUUUCCUUUCCUUCCCAGUGCCCUCCUUCCAUUCAGCUUGUUAAAGGCAGCCCCAUGUAAGCACCCUGCCAGCCUGUUAGGGGAGGGAUAAUGAAGUAAUCCAUAGUCAUUACUCAACCAUCACCCUUGGUGUGCACAGGCCGCUGUGGACCACUUAGCUGAAGGUGUGUGUGUGUGUGUGUGUGUGUGUGUAGGAAGUCAGGCCUUAAUAGGGCAAAGGGUUUGAAGAGGCCAGCGUGGGACAUGGGGACAGCGUCCACAGGGUGUGUUGAGAAAAGGGUGAUGAGCAGGGAGCCUGGCAGGCAGCAUUGGGCCUGUUGUUGUAUACUUUGAUUACAGCUGAAGGAUAAUUUUAGCUGUUAUUGAUCGGGCUUCGAUGGCUGGGGAGGAGGAUUUCUCGGUUGUUAUGACCUGUUGGCCGAGGUGGAGAAGCAUGGGUGAGGUAGGUGGGAGAAGCAGGGAAGAAAGUUCAGGUGUAAAAUGGGAACAGGCAGUGGCAGGCAAGCGAUGAGGCUUUAUGUCGUCGUAAAGUUCAAUAAUAUCUCCCUGACCACUGGUCCGGGGACUAAACCUGUAAAUAAGCGAGAUGACGCAUGCAACAUUCCUAAGAUGCUGAUUUAAGACUAUUCAUUUACCUGUCUGUUCAUUGUGCGUGAUGGAAAGCCAGGCGAGGUAUGCAAGCGCGAUACAACAUCAAACACAACAGCAUGAGUCACAACCAAACCCAAAGCCAAUUCCUAGGUAUUAGAGUGCUUUAAGUUUUAUGAUCCCUUAUCAGUAAACCUAAUAUAAUUACCCUGCAAGGGCACUCUGUCUUUCAGCUGGGGGGGGGGGGGGGUGAAUGGGAAGCUUGAAGUAUGCAGCGGCAGCAGCGCUGGGUACACAGGCAAUGAGAUGUGAUGAGAGGAAAUAUGCAUCUUCUGUUUUAUUAAUGCAUUCCCAAGACCCCUCGCCCACUGAAGCCUUUCAGGCCGCGGGGCCUCGCCAUCAUAUGGGCGGUGGAGGGCGGCGCGGUUUUAUAUAAAUCCCCUCUCUUUAAAUAAGAGGUACCGCCCAGUGUGAAGUGGAAUCAACAGGGCCACCAAGGGAGAGUGAAUGAAUGUAGUCAAUGGUGAAGGUCAGUCCCUUUACGUAUCUGUACGAAUGGGGACUGUGCGCGUGUAUGUGUGGGGCUCCUUUUUCCAUUUUAUCACCCUGCAUGUUGUUGUAUGGAGCUAGUAUGAUUAGCUCCUGUCACACUGAUCCAUAAGUCAUUCCCUCCCCGACGCCUCAAUCUCAGCUCGUUCCGCCGAAAUGUGAAAUGUGUCACUGUGCUCACAAGUGAUAUACACUGCCAUUAGGAAUGAAAUAACCAUAGUUGGGACAGUUAAUUACCUCUGUCCCUUUAUGGCAUGCUUGUACUGUGAGACUCCGUAGCCACAAGGUCAGGCGGCAAAUUCAGAGUUUAUGUUUUGCUGUGUGUUCAUCCUCCACAGGUCAAGCAGCGGUUACAGCAAUCACUCCAUCCGCCCUGUUAGCCGAACCGGGAGAGCGCCUGAUCUUGUGUUCUUUGUGGGUUUUGAGCUUGUUUUUCGGCCGCGUUUGUCUACCUCGCCUCUUGAGGCUGACAUCUUAGGGACACAUAAAAAAUGCAUGCUGAGGUAAAGCCACGGAGAUACGCGGGAGGGAGAGCGGCGCCUGCGAGAGUGGCAGAGAGAGAGAGAGAGAGAGAGAGAGAGAGAGAGAGAAGGUUAAACUGGCUACUGAAGGAAAGCUGGGGAUGAGAAAGUGAAGCAGAAAGGGUCCAUCGCAUACAUAGGAUGGAGGUAUAGUAAGAACACAACAGAAAGGAGUGGCGUGGCAGCCGUGUAGACAAUUAAUGUCUGGACAGGAUUCCUCUUUUGAAAAGGUUAAUUAUUUCCAAUCUGUGCAGGAGAAGUUGUUGGGAGAAGCAGACCUUAAUAUGGCGUGACAAGGUAGAGGAAAAGGUAGACGAUCCUCUCUGGCUGUACCAACAGAAGACUAAUCAGUGAUCAGAGGGAAAGAGGAGGAGAGAGGGGAAAUAGAAGAAGAAACAAAGAAAGAAGGUAUCUUUCUGUUAUGCAAUUGCAGUUCUUGCUUAGCUGCUUUAAAAUACCAUUUCUAAUUUAGACUAUAUCUGCAUUAUGAUCUAAAAGAGAAUUUCUGGUAACAAAGGCAUUUUUUGUCUUUGAAAUGUCAAACUCAAUUCCCUGCACCUACUCGGAAAAGAGAGCCAUCUGAUAAUGUUGCAUCCCUUUGGGGUAAAAUAUUGCGAGGAAGUGGAAUCCAAGAAAAGAAUGCUUUAAAUAACCUCUUAGAAAAAUCAAAGCAGCAUAAGAGGAACAAAAAGGAAACCUGUGCUCCGACCCUGCAUCAACACCGGAAGGAGUUUGCGUACCUUUUGCACAAUGCAAACGCAGCAACGGCGCACAGGUUGAACGCAACGCAACAAAGGCCUGGUUCUGUCAGUGUCACUGAGUCAAGUCUUUUAUCAAAGAAAACAAGGUCUGAGUCAUAUGUUCCUGGUGAGGCUUUGUCUUAACUUCAGAGGCGAAAGUGGAAGUGAUGAGUGUGAGACAGCGGCAGCAAGACUGCUCUCUGCAGAGACACUAAUCCUCGUGACGGCAUUAUCAUCCACACAUCAGCCCGCCGUACUGUAGGCGGGCAUAAGUGUAGGAUGGGCUGCUCACUGUGACAGCUUGGGUCUUUAUUCUUGGAAAAGGGAGGAACAGCUCAUUACUGGAGAUGGUUUUCAGUGUUUUGAUGGGCAAGUAGAAAAAACGCUAUCAACAAUGAGCUCUGACAACCACUGCAUUGCCUCGCGCUUAAUCUGGAUACGCAUGAAUGAGAAAACGGAUAAUAUCAGCUUUUUUUUCUUUUUUUUCCAUGCAGAAGGAAGUGAAAAUAUCAGCUGUGCAUUUUUCAAUCAGUGAUUUUGUAUAUCAAUGGGCAGCUGUCAAUGCUGGCACUCUGGAGUCACAGGUGGGAGAUAGGGAUUAUAAUUAGGCUUUUGCUACGAGUAGGUGAACGGAGCUGCAGGUAACGAGAGGCUGAUAAUGUAUCACUCUCCCUUUCUACUCCUUUGCCACCCACUCAAAGGUUGAGAUGAGAAAUCAGUGGGUGUUAAAGUCAAUUGCCUCCAACAAAACUUGUGGCGGAUGGUUGCAGUCUGACUGUGGCGCCGUGAUUGCGUUUUUAUCGUCCAAGUGCUUCAGUCUUAAUGCGUGGAUGUGUCAUCAGCUGGCAGCUCGCCCUUUUAGCCCUCACAGAUGCUCCAGGCAAAUUCAUUGCUUAUCAAUCCAUCACAUGGAUUUUUUAUUUUUUAUUCUAUUUGGAAAAAGGAGUUGUUGUUGUUUCUUUUCCCCUCCUACAUUGGAGUGCGUAGGAAGGACUGCAUCUUAUUCUCACAUCCUGAUAUCUGGUUAGAAUGAGGACUGCUGGUUGAAGCAAAUAUAUAACGUCCUUAAACUAUGAAAAGAAAAGAGACAGUGAGGUAGUGGUAUUGACGUCAUCAUUGUAAAAUAAAAAUAAAAAAAAGCAAUUUAAUGUAUUGUUAUAUAAUAUUGGUAUUAUUUAUCAUAUCAAUACUGUACAUCUCUGUCAUACUUAAAUAUGGUACAAGUUUAUUUGAGGGAAAAACAUGUAAAGAGUCAUUUUAUUUCUAUUAUCUGAGGUAAACCAACCUUAGAUUGCAGUUUUCAAUGAAAUAUGUCAAUUUUUGUCUAUUUGUGCAUUUAAGGCUCAUUUGCCUUAAAUUUGUUAAUAUUUAAUUUGUAAUUCACGAUCUUGUUACUUGGCUGCACUGCACUGGGCAGCAGAGCUUAGAUCAGGUCAGGCUUCCCCACAAUGCACUUUGUUUUUGGCUAAACGACCGAGGCGCCGUUUCAAAUAGAUGCAAAGUAGGAUCAUUGUCAGCUCUCUUAAUUCAACACAGCUCCUCUUCUUUUAAAAAGCCUCGCUUUUCACACGAAAAUGUUAAAAGACGGUCAGCUCUCUAUAGAUGAAGUGAUCCCAUUGCAGAUAAGAAUGAGUAACGUUGUUCAGAGUAAGUUCCACUCAGUGAGUGCAAAUGAACUUGAACUCACACACUGUAGUGUCGACUCAUGAAGUUGUAACUCAAUUUGAAAAAGCUUGUUGCCAGCAAAUGUGAAUGGCCCGAUAAUGAUUCACACAAUCAAUUUGAUUUCUGGCAAAGAAGAAAUACACCAAAGAGAAAAGAAAACCGACGAGUCCCAGUAUCUGUCUCAUGAGGAAUAAAUAACUGACAAAGUAUAUUAUAACCUAAAAAAAAAAUGUUUUUUAUAAAAUAUAAGAAAUCCAGAGAAUUCCCUUUGUGAUUUGUUGCAAAAAUAAAUGUUCCCGACCGAUCAGUGAGAAGCAAUUCAUGUCCAUUUGCAAGGCAAAUCUCUCUGCUGCAGAAGUUCUAACAUGUACAAAAACUAGAUGCUUUUUUUGUUAAAAGUGAAAAAAUGCAGACCUGGAGCCUGCUGCAGACGUCAAAGUGUAACCUGAAAUGCUGAAUGGGGACACAGUGCAAGGUGUGCCAAAAAUGGGUUCAUUUGAGCAUAAUUUACAGUAAUCAAUGUUCAAGAAUGCAGUUUGCUGUUAUCUUUGCAGUGUGUACUACAUGCAGUUGGAACCUUUUCAUUCAUAACAUUUUAACUCUGUACAUCAGUUUUGUUGUGUAACCUUAAAUACGACAAAUUGCCUAUUGUGAUGACGAACCAAUGGCCAAAGGACAAAGUGAAUUCACUGUCGGGUUCGAUGGUAAAUCCUAUGUAUGCUUUAAACAAUAGAAUAUUGUAAACUUUGCUUGUGCUUUUUUAAAAAGAAAGCAGCGUAAAUAGCUGUGUAUUAGAGGAUCUCAUUGUUUUAUGUAAUUCAGCAGGACGAAAAUAUCAUAUGCAUGCCGAUGUGAGAAAACUGUUUUAAAUGUAUAUAUUUUCCGUCUCUUUGCUCAUUCAUCGGCAUUUUGAUAACUGUACAUUCUGGACGUCACGGAUCAUUUCACAAUGUUGGUGAGGCUCGGUUGUAUCGUUAGCAUGCACACGCGUGUGGCCCAUUCUAACGGCGCAUCAGCCAGUUUCUCUGUGUUACUCCUCACUUCAGGGAACGAGACAGGGUGACACGACUAAAACACGCUCCCCCCAGAGGCGGCACAUGUCAGCCGUCUUCUGGGGCCUUGUCAGCAGCCAAAAGGUUUUAAUGGAACUGUGUUUUGGGAUUUGCACAUGUCGUCGGUGUUGUUCGAGAGACAGAGAGCGUCGGGGGAGGGGGGAGGGGGGACACGGCGGAGAGACCUCUUUGAGCGUCAAGCAGCUGAAAGGAGACAUGGCGUCCGUCGAGAGAAGAGCUGCUUCGCUCCCCUUAUCUUCUCCCGUCGACACACACAGAUGCAAACUCACAUCGUCAGCUCCUCUCCCUCAGAUGCUCUCGGUGAGCGCCGGAGCAGGAGAUAGGCCCGGGUUUUGGGUGAUUGAACCGCCGUUUGCUUAUUCCGCACCUCACAUCUUCAUUUAGCGAGAUUGAACACCUGCUGCAAAAUGGGAUGCAAUUCAGUUAUCCGCGCAGGGCCGUGUGCCGUGCUAACAUUCGGCUGGGAGUUUUUCUAUUUUAGAUCCGGUCUUGAGCUAAGGUAUCAAUCCACAUAUUUUAUGAGAAGCACAUUUCACAGCUUGAUUGUUAACCAUUUUCAGAGAGAAGUGAGAACAUAUCCGAUGCUUUUAAGCGCCAAGAUUAGAAUCAAAGUUCCCAUUGAAGUUUUGCAGGAAAAUGUCACUGUUUGUAUUGUCUUAAUAGCAUUUACUAAUGUCUGGAACCCCUGCCCCGCUGACAUUUAUGUCUUUGCAUCUGAGUGAUGGAAUUUAUCACACAGACUCUGGACCAACAAAAUCCAAAUAUUUUGAGGAGCUCAAAUACUAUAGUUCUCCUUCAGGCCUUUUUGUUUUUAACUUUCAGCUUUUACUGAAGCCACAAAUUGAAAUAACUGAAAGCUUCCUUAGCAAUCCUGUAUGAGUAUAUAAUUAAUAAUAGUUAAUGUCGUGACAGCUUAUUCAUUAUUAUCAUGAUACAUAAAAUCCUAUAAGCAUUGCACAAUAUGCAAGGUGAAUUUACUUUAUUAUCCAGUUAUUUUUUUAAUCAAAUAUUUCCCUUGCCCUUCUCAGAUUAUUUUUUUUUUGACAUGCUAUUCAUAACAUCUUUCAAACCAAAGUUGGACCUCCCCAUUUCCCGGCAUGAUCCGUAGCUAUAAUGUUGCACAGCAACUGCACACCAGGAGAGUCAUCAUAUCUGCAGCGAUUUACCUGUGGUUCACUGUAAACAGAAGGCAAGCUAAUGGUAAUUAACUCAACAUGAUUGCCGCUUCAAUUCAAUUAAAACUCUCAGGGGAAAUGCAAUACUGUCUUCCUAGUUACAUUUGAGUGUCACACCUUAUGCGGUUAAACGGUAGUUAUCAUUAGGAUUUUAAUCCAACGUUUUUGUAUUCAGGGCCACGAGACUCCCAGAUGACAGAGAGUUGGGGCUCGUUUUGAUUCCCACAGAAAUAGAAGUACAGAGUUCCUUACAUAUCUGCUCCUAAACGGUACAGCGAUGCAAUGCUAAUACUAAUGCCAGAUAGAGCAUCACUAAGGUGAAAUAGGCCAAAAAAAGUAUUGCCCCUGAAAAUCCCGACGGUUAUAGGAGCUGGCAAGAGAUUAAGUGCUGUCAUGAAAUACAGACUAAUGGGUCAUUUUUGAAUAGCAACAGCAAACAUGUCCACCCUGCAAUGGAGGCACUCACAGGGGUCAUCGGGUGGGAUUGGUUAUUAUUUUGGAGGACCGUUUUGACAUCCUCUCUAGCAAGAUGAAGGCCUAAUCAAUGUGUUUCUAUAUAUUUUUCAGUGGAUAUUCAUCGUCCCCAAAGGAAAGGUUCCAAUGUCUUGGCAACCGACUGGCAUUUCCGCUGACUAACUAUCAAACCCCCUUUGCACACAAGACACUCAGCAUCAAAUUCAAUAUGUUGGAAAGGAGCCUCUAGGGACCCGCUCACAGUACCGAUGAUCACGCAGCUGUGGCCAAAGAUGAACCUUUUUUUUCCUCGAUAUUAAAUAAAAAAAAGGCCCUAUGAAGUGAACACAGUAAAUAUUGCUCUGUCCCCACUGUGAAUCAGGAAGAGUUUCACGGACUUAAUGCUGCAGCACCAAACCUCCCUCAAAAUCAGAAACGCUUACCCGACCUAAUGUCAUAAUCCCUUCCACUUCAUCAGAGCUGCAGAACUACCACCAUGACGGCUCAGCUCGCUCACCCCCGUGGAGAGAACAUUCAGCCAUCCAGCCUCAUCAAGUCUCUUUAUCGGAAUCAUCUCUUUAUAGUCAGCUCUCCCCAUCCCGUCGGCCUACUUAGAGCCAUGUCGCGUUAGCGCCCAUAGAUCGCCUCCUUCAUUCAAGUCGCAACAUCACUGUGCUUAUUCUCUCAUUAUAGGGCACGGGGCAUCAAUUCUGUCUGCGAUGGGAGUAAUGAAACUGGAUACUUUGUCAACAUCUAUGAACAUCUCCUUUGGAGAAGCUUCAAUGUUGUUACAUAAUCCCCGUUUAUGAAGCAGCAGUACUUUUCUGCAAGUAAAAGAUGCAGUUAAAAUAUUUGUGGCUUUUAAAAAAAAUCCAUUUCUGUCGAAACAUUUUCUUAAAAUGCAUUCUUGCAUAAUGUCAUUUAGUAAUGGUUGAUUGUUCCUUUAGCAGAGUGACUACAUGUUUCUCAAUUCUGGGUUGGAUUAGAGUGUGACCUACCACUAUGACUACGACUUCAAAACACCAACUUCCAUUUGCCUUAGAUAGUGACAAUCAUAAUACUGUCCAACAAUGGGAUAUGGAAAAUAAGUCACUGAAAUAUGCUUUGCUGCUGUGCACAUUGUGUGAAUCUUUUACGGUACAAUAUUGAUUUGUAAUAAAAUGCAUUUGCAGGGCCAUUUGUUAUUCUAUUCGUUAGAAGGAACACCAUGCAUUAUACUAAUUAAAUACUAAUGCUCCUUGUUACUCUUUAGUUUGUUAAUAUUGAAUACUGUACAAUUGAAUUUUGGACUUUUCAAGUCCAGGUACCCGGAGGACUGCGUUUUAUUUCAACUGUCAUGUUUACAAAUGUGAAUGUAUUUCUUUGUAAGUUACAAUGACACUAACACUGAAGCUACAAAGGUUUACAUGCAGGGGAAAGCAUGUAACGUACUCAUCAUGAAGUUCCAUUACACGCUAUUAUCAGAAAAUUAGGGAAUAUCAAAAUAUAGCUUGAAAAGAGCAAUAAUCCUCGUUGUUUAUGUCUGAGGAUGGUUGGACACUUCAGCUUUGAGGGGUGAGUGCAUUUUGCUCCCAUAAAAUCGGCUCAUUUUUUCCACAGGUUAUGGAGGAGUAUCAGUGCAACAGGACACCUGGAUUUGCACUCGAAUGGCAUGAAAUCCUUCCAAUCACGCAAAUUUGCAGCGGUAGACACAGGAGCAGAAAAACCUCUCAGCGGGUCGACCUUGUUUGAAUGAACGCUGCUGCUGAAGCCUUGUUGGGUCACAGUGCAACGUCACAACACGUUUGUUUUUUCUAUCGGUUAAUAAAUACAUGAAAUGUUCUGCAGUUAAUUAAGGAUACUUGAAUGAUGAAAAUAACCUGCUUUACAGGAGCAUCACCUUAGGAGGGGUCAAAGAUGAACGCAGCAGGGCCCGAGAUAUCCUGACAUUGUGAUUCUGGCGUGACAACCCGGAUUAUUCAUUUCCCAUGAAGCAACUGGAUGGCGUGUAAUUAGACAUGAGGGAUUGUCUCCACAUGCUCAGUUUGGAACAUAGACUUUGUCUGAGGAAGCUCUGUAACUGCCUUCGCUCUCCAUCUUGAGUAAACUCACCCUUAAUGAGUAAAAUCAAAGGACAAUGGCUUAUACCACUUUCUGUGGAAAAAAAAUGUGUCAUAUUUCUAUUUAUACAAGGAAUAUUUAUUUCAUAAUGUACUCCAGACUAGUAACAAAUUUAUAACACAUGUGAAAUUAUACAGCACUUAUUUAACAAAAUCAAUGUCAGACCGUUCCAUGGGCAUGUUGAAUUCAUCUUGAAAUAAACUUUUCCAUAAACCUCCAGCCUGAGGUCCAUUAAACAAAAAAGAACCUUGAGCAAUAGCGUGCUACUUUUGGAUGCCACCGUGAAAUCAAAUGGAUACGGCAAAUGAAAAAGUACUGAAUGCGAGUCCAUAGUUUCCUUGAAUACAAUAUUUCCUACAAGCUCAUUUAUCAACCGUUGCUGCCUAAGCAACACGGGGCCUUUCCUCCGCGCCAGUCGCUGCAGGCAAAACACGGGUGGAGAGGGGUCACCGUCCUGUGCACCUGCUCAUACUAAUCACCCGCUGGGAGAGUGAGGGGUGAGAGGGCCGAGGGCAGGGAGCGUGCAAACGCACACCCCUGCGUGUGUGUGUGUGUGUGUGUCUGUGCAAACCUGAAUCCCCACUUCACCUUUCCACCCGUGUCGUUUUCUUACCCCUUCCACCCUCCCCACCAAAACACAUCCCCCGCCCCUCUUUCCCUGCUGAUCUGCUGCCUUGCUGUCGAUUUACUGACGAGCUUUGCUGCUGCAGCCGCCCCGGAGUGCUGAAGCCGUCAUUAGAAAUUCAGAUGACUCUGCCCCACAAUGCACCACACUCAGUUGCUCUGUGGCAGUGCCUCAACUGUGACAAACUUUCUAUUCUCCUUUCAUUUUUUUUUUCAAUUUUUUCAGACAAGAUUUUGUCUAUUCUCCUGGUCUCAUUUUCUUUGUACCUAAUGGUGAGACACGUUUAAGCCCUUUGAUUAAAAUACCAUAAAACAAUAUGAAAAAUAUUCCUGGUUUAUCAGAAAAAGUACUUCUUUCUUCCAGAAAAAUGUUGGCCCAUUGACGGAGUCCCUUACAUACAAAGCUCAUAAUCAAGUAUUCCACAACAGACGGGCUUAGAAAUCACUUUCCAUGGUUUUAUUUUUAUUUAUCCUCUUUCUGUUGCAGAUUCAUCCACCACAAUUAAAAAAACUAUUAAUAAAUACUAAUACUCCAAGGGGCAUAAAACCUUAGUGGGUGCAUGAACUUGCUGCUUGAUUAACCAGGUUGAAGAUAUUGGAAAGCUGUCACGGGAAACAGCCGUCUCCACCACCAUUUCUCAAUACUAAAGCACUGACAUGAAUUAUGUAGAUAAGCUGCAAAGAGAUAACAGAGGACAAAUCUACUAUGUGCACGGGGGCGUGCCUUUAAAAGACUGACAGACAAUGUGUUUGCAACCCUGUGCCUCGGUGAAGGACUCUUCUCCCUAAUUCCACCUAACAAAAGGCUUGCCUGCCAUUGUUUCGCAAGAGCAGCAGCAAAGGGCUGAAGGUUCAUAGCAGGAAAUGAAGUCAGACCAGAGACAAAAAACAGCAGUAUUGUGGGUGAAUAAAUAAUGAUUCAGAACAAAGAUAAUAGUGCUUUUGAAGUAUCUUCACUGCUUCAUCUCCUGCAUCGCCUGCAGUUAUUUUCUGCGGAGAUGUCUAAACUGUUCCUACAGUUGAUACUUGAUGAAUAUUGAAUCCAUCUUGACGUUUGGAUAACAAAUGACUGCAAAUGUGUUUUGCACCAUUUUAUAUUGAUCCCUGUAUGUGAACAAAUGGCAGGAAAAUAAACUUACUAUGUGUUCAGAUUGGAGAUGCUUUGAUCUUUGCAUUUUGCAGACUGAAUGAAAACAGACAGCCGGCACUGCUGGUGCAUCUUGACUCCAUAAACAUCUAAUGGCCAUUAUGAGGACAGUAAGCAUUGGUUUUCAAAAACUCGUUUUGAUUCUGACAAGCACACAAGCAAAGUGACUUUAAUUAAAUGCAUCAUUAUUUUCCCCUGCAUCAAAAAAUAUCCACCUCAACAGCACACACCCAAAAAAUGUGUUUGGUGUCAACCACUGAACAAAAACACAUUGCUCAUGAAAGGCAGCAAGGCCGGUGCAAAAGGCUUUUUUCUUCUACCUGAGCACGAUUUAUUUAUUGGAUAAAAUCACACUUUUCUGCGGGGAAGUUCAUGGAUCAUAAAUGUGAAACAUCUUAAUGCACACUUUAGCUGGUUUCGUUCAUGCUCUGAGAGACUGCCCUGAGCCAUUCAUGGCUGGUUGGAGCAGGUUCUGGGAACAGUGGCAUGACUUCCAUACAGUCCACACACACACACACACACACACACACACACACACACACACAAGAUGUACUGUUGAUGCAGUAGCCGAUAGCUGAUGGAAGCUAUCUCCACAAAAGUAGAGGGGCAGUAAAUUAUUAAAAGGGAAACAGGUAUUUUGUGAAUGAAGAGAGUAAAACAAAUAAAUAAAAAAUACACCGGACCUUUCAAAACAAAGACUGCUCUUGAGGGCGUUAAAAGGUUCACAGUGAAAUAAAGGGCAUUUUGAACUAGCCUACAGCCUGCCCGGUGUGCAAGAUUAGCGUAGAAUCCCCAUCGAAAAGAAACACUGCUGGGUUAAAAAAAAGAGCCAAAAGGAAAGACGGUCACAGGCAGUAAUCGAUGCCACUAAGUUGAAGAAAAAAUAUUUUGACUUUCGUAAGGAAGCAGGCGAGCGUUUUGUUGGUGCAGUUACAUUUCUUCGCUAUGGGUGGUGCAUGUUGACUUGUUGAACUUGUCUAACCGGGAGACAGAAAUCCCCCUUCUUAAGUCCAUACGUAAUAUUAUAAAUAUGUCAAAAGCCAGCUACUGGAGGUGUUUUGCAAAAAACAAAACAUUUUUAGAGCUGUGUAUAAUGAUUCAAGUUAUGCUCUUAGCAGUACAUUACAGCUGGCUGAGGGAUCAGGGCUAAAUAGACAACCUCACUGCCCAGAAAUGUUAGUCGUGAACAAACAACAAUUUUCACAGUCAUUUUGCAGAGUAAUUGUUGUGCUUGAAUACUACUUAGUCUUUUGAGUUUCAAAGGAAGUAUUUGUGCAAAGCUCAAACUGAAAUCACCAUGAGUGGGAACCCCAUCUGUGCUGUAAGGGCUAAAAUGGAUGUAGAAGCUGGUUGCUCUCUUAUCUGUGCAGUGGUGAGAAGCUGUUGAUGGAUCAAUUCCCAGGUUAGACUGACCUGCCCUGUGGGCCUGUGAAGCCAAUGUCCAACUUCUCACGAGGACGCCAUUCCGACCCUACCAAUUCAAUUCAAUUUAUUUGAUUUUUCGAGAGACCCAAAAUCACACCGUUCUAUACAAUCUGUGGAAAUGAGGAAAAACUUUCCCCGCAGAAAGAAAUCCCUAUAAACCCUGCUGAAUGGUGAUGUCAUUGAUAUUUAGCAUUUUUAAUUUCCAUGACAAGCCCAUGAAUCCUAGAGUCACCGUGGUUGUCAUUUUACUUGGGUUCAGGGGUAAAUAAGGGAGAAAAAGAGGGAGGUGGGGGGUUGCAGGAAGACACUAUUUCACCAUGUUGCUAACAAUAUUUACGAAUGAAAAAACUAACUGGGUUUACAAUAUUGAUUUGUUGGUAUAUUAAAUCAAUACACACUCAAAACCUGCAAGCAACACGGAAUAUGGUGUGUCUAUUAAAUGCUUUCCUUCAGCAAAAUAUACAAUAAAAAUGUAUUAUUUAUAUAUAUAUAUAUAUAUCGCUGACACGUGAUCUGAGUUUUGAAUCAGCUAAGGACAUUAUCAAAAACCAAAUUAUCUGCUUGUUUUUUGCAAUGGAAGAAAAUUGGCUUUCUGAAUGUCAUAGUAAAAUGCCAGCCAGUCAAUGAAAGUCCUUACAACACAGAUAUUGGUCCAUGGAUAACUGUUAAGUCAUUGCCUGUGGCCUGAAUGUGAGAUACGUACAACAUGUGAUUUGUUGGAAAAUAUAGACUGAGGGAAAAUGUCAGACUUUUCCAAUAUCCGACCAAGGGACUACCCCAGCAGCACUGCCACAGUAUAUCCUCAAAUGACUGCCAUGCUGUGGAUUGGGGCUUGGAGGAAAAAAUAGAGUCACAAUGGAAAUAAUUCCUGUAAUAUCACCCAACAUCAGGAACCCUGAACUUCGAGAUGGGCCCUGAGGUUGACAUUUAAAAAACUGUCUUGAGGGAGGAGUCAGGACCCUUGGAGACAUCCUUGGCUGCUUUAACGAUCCUUAUUCAUCUCUACCUCAUUCACAAUAUCACAGACAGACAUACACAACACACUCAUUCCUGCAAACACACAGGUAUGAAAAAUAUGUUCAAAUAUGUCUGUGCAUGGAAUAGCACAUACGUACGUAUAUUAUAGAACAAGUUGAGUGCAAGCUGUCUAUGUUGAUCAGGAUUAUACUCUUAUAGUCUGCUACACACAAGCCAUACAUUUCCAUUCUUUUUCCAAUCGCACUCUCUCUCACACUCACGGGUUGUGUCUUUCCAUGUGUGGGAUAUAAUUUUAGCUUCACCGGCAUUGAGUGCAAGAAGACAAGGGGAGAUGCCCAGCACUUUGUUUCCACGUCAGGAUCCUCUUUUUCCACUUGAUUGGCCUUUCAUCACACAGCAUGCGGUGCAGACAACAAGGCAACAGGAAGUGGAAGCAAUGAAAUGCAAUGGAUUGGGAGGGAGAUGAGACAUGGGACGAGGGGAGGAAUGAGACUUGACUGCUGAUGAUCUUUGGUGAGGCAUCUCAUGAGAAACAAAAGGACGAGUCCAACAGUAACCUUACUCCGUAUUCUCCCGUACACAGCCUCCUAAGUGUAUUCAGGCAAUGUGCACAUUCAUGCACAAUAAAACUGAGGGUGUAGAGUGCUCAUAUCUCAGGUGCAGAAAAAGAAGAGAAAGAAAAAUCUGCUUAUCGUUCAAUUCCCGUUUUUUAUUUAAGCUAAAUCUGUAAAAACCCACAUGCGUAAAAAUGCUCUCUACAUUCAUUCUCUCUUGUCAGUAUGUUGAGACUAAACAUGCUGAUAAAUAAAAUGUUUAAAUUGCUUAAGCAAAUCGAAAUGCUAAGUCCCCAAUAUAGCACAUGUUUCAAGCUGGGUGUAGCCUAUAUGUGCUCCUAUGUGCCCUGACAGUGUGAGGGGAAUAAUGAAGCAAAAAGUUUUGGGAGUGGGGGUGGUGCCUUAUUAUAACUCCCAGUGGCGAAUGUCCACAAGAGCUGCGCUCCGACAGCCGAGUCGCUUUUCAAGGCUUUGCCAAAGCUUCCAAAUGUGCCGAAAAUUUAGAAGUACCCGGCCAAAACAUGAAACAAUGAGCACAUUGUUGGCUCUAACUCACUGAGAGGCAGCAAUGCAGCGUUUAAGCAACUCCAUAAAAGAAAGGUGACGAUAUCAUGUCUGCAUAUCGAUAUGAAGCCAAUAUGCAAGAGAUCGUGUGGGAGGGAACACUGCUGGCAAAUGCCGGCAAAAUUUUUUUGGUGAUUGCAACAAAUUCAACUUCAACGCGGCCUCUGAUGAUUCAGAUAGCUUGUAUCGUUGUUUCCAGCACUCAGACGGCGAUUACUUUAAACAGUGCGUCACAAUUAGGAUAUGCCUUCUUGUGGUAUCCUUUUGUUAAUGUGAAUUAAGAGAUAUAUUAAAGCAAGCAGCAACACAGUACUUGAAAGCGGCAUUCAUUGAUGUUUCAUCAAAUGCAAACCUUGUUGGGUUUUUUAAAUGCCCAAAAUCCACUCACAACGUAGCUCUGUUUUAGCCUCCAACAUCUCCAAAGAAAAUGUAGUUGGUGUUUAUCCCUCAGCUGUUUGAUGUGGGGCAUGCAGCAUGCAGUGGGGGCAUCAGAGCCUGUUUGCUUGAAACAAGCCGCGUGCUGCUGCUGCUGGGAACGUGUUAAGCAAACAGCAGGGGCUGUGGUGUAUUAUAGAAAAUACGGUAAAAGAAGCAAUAAUACUCAGAGUUAAGGGGAAUUGCAGAAUUUCACAAUAACUGUGAGGGGGGGAGGGGGGCUCAUCUGAGUGACACAUUUUCCAAUAGAAAGACUUCUUUUAAUCCUUUGUCAAUGCAAACACAUUGAUCAGAGCAGCUUUAAUAUUUCCAAUUCACAAUUGCAUUCAAUGUCCGACCCACUGCUGUCUCAAAUAAAGCGUACAGCAGGUAAGCUUAAAAACCCUGACGAAAAAAAAAAAAAUAAUAAUAAUGUUAUUCCUGAGGGUUUUCUGUAGAAAUCCUGUCUGUAUGUCUGCAGGGAGGGUUGCAUCUGCACUGCUCUAAUGCUACUGUGACCCUGGUCUGACAAAGAGCAGGGAUGGAUGGAGCUGGCGAUUCGUCGCUGCCGCACCAUGGACAGCGACUCUAAAGUGAUCAUGUGUUUUGGGUACUUUGGACACAUAUCUGCAUGAGACACUCAUCUCGAUUACAAACUUUAAUAAAUGCAAGUACAGGCGCAGGCUUAGAGAUGCACAUCCUGAAGCUGCAUCAGGGUUUCAUCCGUGACCUCCAUCAGGGCAAAUGAGGCUCAGCUGUGUGAGCAGAAGCACUGCCAGGUGUCUGGUGAAGAGUACAACAAUGUAGUAAUGUGUUUAGGGAUUGAAUCUUUUAAUUCAGGACGAGGUUAUUUGAAAUAUAUUAAGGGAAAUAAUUUGUACAGUUAAAGCUAUAAUUUUGUUUAUCAUAAUUAUCACGAUUAUGUUGUAAACCUUUUGGUACUCAACGUACUGUAUGCAGCUUUUUGUUGACAUUUGUGUCGCAAAUAAUGCACUUGAGAUUUUAGUUUAAAAACUUAAUUUUUGUUUCAUUUGAAGAAAUAAACAUUACUUAUUUAAAAAAAUGUUAUGACUUUUGAACAGUGGUUAAAUAAUACAAUAGCACAUAGUAUAUACUGUUUGUAUAUAUUGUAUACUUACAAAUAGUUCCUAGGUGGUUCCCUGCCUUGUAUGAUUAAUCACCAUUUAUUGAUAACUUAUUAUUAUAUACCUUAACUAAAAAAUGUAAGGUUGAAAUUAAAUCCUAAAUCCUUGUUCUUAACACACAAACAGUAAUUAUCUAUGAAGAAAAAGGAGAAAUUUGUAUCCAUUUGUGAUAAAAAUAGUAAAGUAAUGUUUUAUUUUAUAACGGCACAGCGAUUCCAUCUCAAAUGACAGGACUGUCCUUCAAUCAGUGGAUCCGUGAUUUCAUUCCGGGCAUUGCUAAUCCGUGCCGAAGUGUCCUUGGGAAAGACACUUAACCCCAAAUGUAUCCUGCAGGGUGCCUGCAGCAUAUCCAUUGACGAUAAUGAUUUGAUACUCCUGAUUGGCAGGAGGCCACUGGCUUGUUAGCCCCUGCCAUCAGUGCAUGGAUGGGCGUGGUCAAUGACGACAUGUGGUGCGAUAUGGGGCGCCAUUUGUAAAAAGUUCUAAAAAAAAACUUUCUAAAAUCCUGCGCAGUUUUGCUAUGUUUAUCAUUGUCGUAUGAAAAUAAAAGCACGACAAUAUUCAUUUGUCACUUUUUCAUGUAAAUUCAUCCAAUAACUUAUCCAGGGAUAAUGUUUGGCAGUAACACAAACUAAAUGUAAAUGUUAAAUAUAAAUGUAAAUGUUGAAUAUAAAUCUAAAUUUUAAAUGUAUGCUAUGUCCAGGAAACUAUGUUAGUGAAAUUGUCUCGAGUCUAUGUCUCGUGAUUUCCUUAUUAUUUAUUUUGAAAAUGAACCUCCCUCUCGUUUCAGGCAACUUGCUCCUUCCCCCCGUGUGAAGGUCUGAUUGUCUGCCCUGCCCCUGAUUCAUACACACAUGGUACACACACGUGUCCUGUGCCAGUUCGCCUUGUCUCAGGUCAAGGAACCAUGGGACGCUCGCUCAUCUGACUCAAGCACCCUCAGCCACGCUGGCGGGUAAAAAAACAGGAAAAAAAACGGUGUUCCAAAUUUUAACGGGAAAAAACGGUGUUCCAUUUUUUAACGGGAAAAAAAACGGUGUUCCAAAUUUUAACGGGAAAAAAAACGGUGUUCCAAAUUUUAACGGGAAAAAAAACGGUGUUCCAUUUUUUAACGGAAAAAAAAACGGUGUUUCAUUUUUUUUAACGGAAAAAAAAACGGUGUUCCAUUUUUUAACGGGAAAAAAAACGGUGUUCCAAAUUUAAAAAAAAAAAAACAUUUGUAAUUCUCUAAAUUGUUCUUAGCGACCGUCUAAAACCCAUCCACAAUGUCGUGGAAAGAAAAUCAUUAACUUCUUAGAACCUGGAACCAAAACCCUUUGUCCUCUUAAAUGUUUUGCAUAAUUCAUCAUUUUUAAAAAAGAAGUAGGCCUAAAAGUUAAGUGCCACUCAAACAGGAUAUCCAGUCGAGUGGUGUGGGAACCUCUUACUGAGCUGCUCCAGCCACCUGACCGGCGGCUCAAUAGCCGGUAAGGAGCUGCCAUGGCAACAGUGAACCAUCUCUUCCUCCUGAAGCCCUCCGGACCGACAGAUGAGGAAGGGGUGAUACUUUGAAAGAGGAGAGGGAGCAUCGCAGGGACAUUUUAAUGAGAAAGUUUUAAUUGCCACAUUUGUUUGACAAAGACAACUUUAGAGCACUCAGGGGAAGACGAGCAGAGAAUAGAGUGGAAUAAAAAAUACAAAAAAUGUAAUGCCCGCUAGAAAGGCCGAGAGGAAGAAUGAGUUGCAGGAUUGAAGAGCAGACAGCAGGUGUUGAAAGAAGAAAUGGCUGCCAUGCAUCUCAUGGGGAAAGAUAAUGAAGCAAGAUGCUAUCCAAUUAUAUAUCGCUUACCGAAUCGAUUUGAGCCAAAAACAACCGCAAGUGCAACAGGCGCAAAAUCUAUUAUGAGCAUGGCGCAGAGCGUAAAGGAAUCACAGAGCAAAAUUGAAAUCAUCAAUGACCGUCAGCGAGAGGAGAUGGUGCGGUUCCUACUGGCAGCCCAGUGGUGAUCAGAGGACUAUGCGCACAUCUGCCAGACACCAAUCUUGUGCAAAAAAAAACUUGGAAGCACUCCCAGUCUCUCAGACGGAGAGUUUCAGUGUGGUAGCAAAACAAAACCACAAGUAAUCAAUUAUACCACCACAAGUUUCUCGGUUAUCCGGCUUCUUCGGGAGCCUGAAAAACAUUGGCGACUAGGUUUUUAAAAUAUCAAGGAACCUUGGAAAAUAAUCUUGGAGCUUCAGAAACACCCGUCAAUCUUUUCUGACACGAAACAGAAACCGCCGUGCGUUCCUUUUUCCGAGCAACACAGUGACAAUUACCGGCGCAGGACCCGGAUAGUUGGCCUGUGGGCAACUAUUAAAUUAUACAAUGCUGGACUGAGAAAAUCCCUGAGAUGUUCUGUUUGGAUUGAGCCUGUUGCGUGUGCCAAACAUGUAUCAAACAUGAAGUGCAAUCACCCACCCCUCGCCUCUCCCCUAAUCUUUACCAAAAAGCCACUGUGAGCUGCCGCAGCUGCCCGUGUACUGACUUUGAUGUUUUAUUCAUUUUCUUGGCAGCUUGUAAAUGUGUCUGUUAAAGCCAUGGAACAUGAGCCCCCUCGCCUCCUGGUGCAGGAGCAUAUGAAAUGGGAAAGGUUGAUGCAGGCGUUGGUGAGGAUUUACACAGACGGGACCUUUUUCCUUUUUGCGUAUUACAGAAUAAACAAAAGCAAUAGAAGAGAAUUGUGCUGAAUUUAUUUUUCAAAUGUCUAUUUUGUUAUUUAGUUUUUGUUCAUUGAUGUGCUUAAAUCUCUAAUGUGCAGUGUCCAUGGUUCAGAACACUUAAAACAAGGAUACAUCCUUUGUGUUACUUCUCUUUUGUCUAAGAAGAUUGACUGAUGGUCUCCCAAGGCUACUGUAUCUAUUGACAACACUGACUCAUACCUCUCUUGUAAUUGCCUCAUUCUUAGAACCCACCAAACCCACUAGAGCUACACCUCUGAAUAUAAGAGCACGAAGGCCAUGUUGCAUCGCACUAUUGUCUCUGGCAGCUAACGUCUCAUGGUUUCCUGAGGCCAGAUGGCAUCCACGCCAUAAAAAAGACUAAGGAGAUUACAACUACAGAUUCAUAAACACCGCCAAUAGAGAUUUAAGAUUAGUCGUGUUGGCCUGACGGUAUCCUCUGAACAUACACACAUCUUGACAAUUAGCCAUCUUUUUUUUAAUUCCUAUGCUUUCAGCAAUUCAUCUUCAUUGACAAACAUGCAUUUAAAACACGUGUCAAAAAAAGAAGAUAACACAAUCGUUUGGACUUGUUUAGAAAGGCCUUCACUACUAUUAUUUAUCUUCACAGAAGAAGUCCUUUUAGAUGAUACCUAUGAACUGUCAAGGAUCUUUGAUGCAUGUCACCCAAAACAACGCAAUACAGUAUGUCAUCGUAAAAAUACUUCAAAUUUGUAUCCAACAAUUGAAGAUCCCCCAGAGCCAGAGGUUCUAAGCGCCUUCUUCUGUUUCCCAGAGACUGUGGAGUGAUCACACGUGUGUGUUUCACCAAACGGCUGCGACUACCCAAUUAAUUAGCAUCGAGCAUUAAUUAGGACAGCGUUGCCACAUGCUCGCAUUCAUCGAGGUGGUGGUGUUGGUAAGAGAAAGACCUGCAAAAGGCAACGAGGAUGAGUACAGAUUGAGGAGAAAUGGAGGAAAGCCACUCCAUUUUGAGUGAUGACAGAGGUGAAGGGUAGGAGGCAGAGCGAGGAGGUGAUAGAUGGAGGGAGAAGAAGAGCCGACAAUGAUGGCGGUUUGCUGAUGAGGAAAAGCGGUGUUCUGUGAGCGAGUGUGGACCCCGUUAAUGAAAGGGAAACAGCAGCAUGCGUUCCCAUCGUUAGCCCUCAUUAGCCCCUUCUCUGGGGGGUCUGCUGUGAACGCACCGAGGAGGCGGCCGGGCGGAGGGAGGGAGACGCACUACAGACAAGGAAAAGACGCUGAACGGAAAAAGAACACAAAAGGGGAGGUUGGGAGGUUAUUUGAGCCUUGUUGUAUGUAAAGACGACGUGAAAUCGCUGCCACGUGAAUCGAUGAGCACGAAUGUGUCCCUGCUUCCCUUGCAUGAACUGUAUCACAAAAGCAGCAAAAAAUUAAUAAAUAAUAGAGAUAUAUAGUAUAUAUAUAUAUAUAUAUAGACAUCCUGGUACGGUGGUGUGACUAAUUAUCUGCCGAAACAGUGUAUUAGCUGCAUGAUUACCAAGCUCUAUAGCUAAUUACAUAGCCUGCUCUUCUCUGACCUCUGCCACUGUGAUGCAUUACUCCUCUUUUCCAUCUCCCACUUGUUUGCCCACCACACCGUCUUUUAACCUCUUCUUUUCUCAUAUUUUUAAAAGUUCACUUCAACUCUCUUUAAUUCAAUGACCUCUUCAUACUGUAUCGGUAAAACAUGGCUAUAAAUUAUGUCAAGGAGCAUUCUUUAAAACACUAAACAAACACCGUUUUGAGCAGGCGAGCGGAAUGCCAAUGCAUAUAAGAGGAUAUUUCAAAUUUCCAGUUUCUCCCAAAACUGGAGUGCAAAAACACUGAAAGCAUUUCAUGCCUUCAACUAUCAAGGGAAAACCGCUAUUAAUGGUAAUUUCAUUUGUUACGGUGGUUUUCAUUGUACAGCAGUGGCUUUUGUGGGGUAAAAGUGGUUAAAUGUUUUACCAGUCCCUUAGUAAAGUUGGCAUCCUCCUUUGUUCUCCCAUCUUUUAAACAGAUUCGACAUGUUACAAAAGAUUUAACUGCUCUUUUACUGUGUGUCAGUGUCAGAGGUAUUAACGUUUUCCCAUCAAACUUAUUUUGGAUGUGACAGGUGGAGGAAAAAAUAAACUGUAAAACCCAGUUUCAAAAUGGCAUGAUUGAUGUCUGCUGUGAGGGUUGAUGUGAAGAUUAUUCCUACUUUUCUUCUUUAAUGUACACACGAUAGUCCAUACUUGCUGCCCUAAUGGUCGCGUAAUGUUAUUCAGUCCAGAUCAAAGUGCUGCGUUGGCCAAACUUAAAGUGAAUUGUCUCUGGGUCUUGGUAAUGGCUAUUUGACCUGAACCCCUCCGCGAGGAGGAAAAGGACCUCCAAGAUGAGUGAGUACUUCUGAGUGUGGCGGAUUGCCAGGUAAGCAUCUCAUUUUGCACUGUCAAAGUUUACUGUAUAAGCAUAUUGUAAACAACUGCAACAUCAGGAAUGUCAAAGGUUAAAAAGAAGUGACGUAAUUUUGCUUAACUGCUUUAAAACUAAGAAAGGAACAUUUUGAUAUGUUAGAUCUAAUUAAAUACAGUACUCAAAAGCGACAACCUUUUCAAAUAAGUCUUACCUUUUUAUAUAUUCAUACAGAUGGAGCAUACAGGGUCUGUCAAAUUAUCGAUAAACCAUCUCUGUGUUUCAUCUGCCAUCUCUAAUUAAUUGACGCGUUGGAUGUUUUCAAAAUGCUGCACUAUCACGGAUGACUUAUCCAACCAGCAAAUCUUAUAACUCGUGUGAAUUUGACAAGCAGCUGGUAACACCAGCGCUUUUAAUUCCACACAGAACCUGUAAACGUCAGCAAACCCAAUUUAUAUAAUGUGGAACUGAACCUUCAGGACAGCCUGUUCCCAUCAAUCCAUUGUAUCUUUGAACAAAAAAAAGACAAAGCUGACUCCAAAACGUCCCACCCUGUAUUCUUUUGCAAGGACUACCCUAUUCGAUUUACAAAAAUACACACACAUUAUUUCACAUUUCUCACAGAUUCAACCAUUACCAAUAGGCACAAAGUAGCUAAAACUCUCUCAAAACGAUUAUAGUAAAAAAAAAAAAAUUACCAUAUAUAUGAAUUCCCUGUUGACUCCACAUGACUUAACUUGGUUCAACGAUGCUUACUUACUCAAAAUGUUGCAUUAACUCUUUUAACAGUUUAGCUUCAUUACAGACCUUCUCCUUUGGAGAACUUACUCUGAAAGCAAUUUCCUGUAUGCAAAGGGUUGUGAAAGAGGCCAUCAAUCUCCAGCUAGAAAAUGAAGACCACUUGGGACAGAUUGAAGUAAACUGUUAAAGUUUUGUGGAAUUGUAACUGUUAGCAUAACAGUUACAAUUCUCAUAGAAUAGCAUAGAAGUACUUUAUUGAUCCCCUAGGGGAAAUUCAAGAUCCAGGUAGCUCCUGACAAUAUACAAAAAUAAUAUACACAUGCAGUUAAACUAUUAAAAAGGGUUUAUCAAAGAAAAAAUAAAGUUAAAACACACAUUAAGAGUUCAGGCUGGGGGUGGAGAGAGGGGGAGGUGGGGGUUUGGCCUUAAAGGGGGGGGGGGGGGGGGGGGGGUUGUGCAAAGGGCCAACAUAGCCAGUAGUCUGAAUUGUCACAAGACCAGAUGGCUGUAAAUGUUUUAGAGUCCUGGACAGGUGAGGUGUGAAAUUAAAACUACUGCAUUGGCACCUUGCCAGGACUUCUUUCUCAACCGGCAGAUGCUUCACAAUAUUAGCAAAGGCAUAGCAUUUAUUUUACCAACUAGCCACCAACUAGGAAACAUUUUUUUCACUGCCAACCGAGCUGAUAUUUGCUCUCUGUUCGAUAUCAUCAUCACCUUGUGGUGGUGUUUUUCUCUUAUUUUGAAAGGAGAUUAGAGGAUGAGUCGGACGGAUGGAUGAGAGGAAAAAUACUUUGGGGUGAGCUGUUAUCCGCUGGCGAGCUCCCUAAACCUUUGGUGCAUGCAUUCAGGGUUUUUUUUUAAACAAAGAAGAGGGGCCAACUUUGAAAGUCCUGUUUACAAACCAUGGUCCCCCAAAAAAACAACUACUCAUUCACCCCUAAAGCGCCCCGGUGGCACAUGUGAUCACAUCAUUACGCAAAAUCUACCAGAGUCUGCACUUUGACUGACUAAAGAAAAGGCCAAACCCCGUUUAACAAGAUCACUCCGUCCAGCUAUCAAAUCACGACUGCCUUCCCUUGAGUGGUAAUGAAAUUGCCAGCCAUUUAGAGGGCAGUUUAUGCGAUCAACCGUUUCUGUGGUCAGCUUCUUAAGCUGCAAACAGAUAAAGUAGGGCUCUUCUUUACCACUUCUGCUUUGGCUCAUUCUGCCAAUCUCUCUCUUCCCUAAAGCGCCCCCCCCCCCCUCCCCCUCCCAAGCUUAGUGGCUCUGGCUGCAGCCUAUAGGCUCUGUGAUUUUUAUCACUUAAAAAGAGGAGAGAUUUUCAUCUUCCCAGUUUUCACAGCUCUCCGAUAUAACAAGGUAAGGAAGAGAUGCAGGGACAUAUGGAGGGCCACAGACGGACGUGUCGUGAGAGAAAUCCGCAAAAGACAAAUGUGGAGCCACAGAGGAGUCGAAUGGGAUAAGGUUGUAGGAAGAAAAAAAACGCAACAAUGGGUAAAGAAAUUUACUUGGUAAGUGGGCUACAGUUACUUGAACAAAUGCAAUUUGCAUGUGGUGCAGUGUAUGCGAACAAGGGUAUGGACGGGAGAGACAGAAAAGAGCCAAAUGAAAAAUCCCUCCAGGUACGUAACGUCACCAGGGGAGCAGAGCCUGGAGGAGAGUGGAUAAAAAGGAAGGUGAUUGACAUUCACUUUAAUCCACAACUCACCACAUGUCAUCCAAUUUUUACACAUGAAACACGAAAAAGGAGCUAUCUUUUCUUUGUACCUGGCAGACAAUGAAAGUGGACAGCGAGGAGCCGGGAGAGAAAGGGGUGAGGAACAAGAGAGGGCCGGCAAAUGAAAGGCAGAGCAGCCUGAUCCCUCAGAAAUACUUGAAAUGACCACAACCUCUUAACAGCGUAUUAUGUUGGGGUGACAAAUGAUUGAGGGGAAAAACAUCCAUUGAAAAGUCGAUUAUGAUGCUUUAUUGUUGUCAUACACACACACACACAAUAAAAAGCAUCUACGACAAUAUGCAAAACUGAAAGCUGGCAACCGUGUGAGAAAGAUAUUUUUUGGAAGGAUGGAAGGUUGAUUGACUAAAAGAAAUUGUGUCCCAAAGUUUUUCCAAGCCAAUAUUUUCUUUGUAAACCUAACUAAGUGGUCCUGUAAAAUUGGGUCCAUUGUGGUACAUAAUGUGUGACUUUAUGCGCCACCACCACAACCGUUUUCACGGUUUGGGUCACACCACUAAUUUCUGUGAGACUUCGUUUCUCUUUAAAGUGGCUGUCACAAAAAUAGAAAUCGCAAGCAGCCAGAGAAAUUUCAGACUAUUGGGGAUUUAAAGGAGCACAAAGGAGAUGAGAGGUGUGUGAAAAAUAGCAUGACUGCAAACACGAAAUGGGGAAAUACGUCACCCAAGCGCCGGGUAAAAAGGGAAAAGAAGAGCAGAUUGAAUGGUUACAGGGCUGCUGAAGACCAGCGCAGCCCACUAUGCACGGUAGUUAUUCUGCUGCUAACGAUGCUAAUGUUACCUGCGUUACUCCAUUGUGUUUAAUUUACGAUGUCAGGCAGCAAAUAUGAGGUGUCAUGUUGCUGCUGUGGAAAAUAACUGGGACUAACAAAAGAAUGCUUCAUCUCAAAUAAUAAGACAAACAAAAAUAGUGAUGUUUAGCAUUCAUAUAAGGUUUUGUCAAACGACAUGCUCAUAAAUAACAUAAUAGUUCUCCCCAUUAAUGUUUUACUUGAACUUUUACCUGUACUGUACCGUUCCACGUACAGUCCCACUAUCAAUUUUUCAUACAGUCUGAUGCUGUCUUUCCAAUGCUCUUUGCUUUUAUAUGUAUGUAUGUAUGUAUGUAUGUAUGUAUAUAGAUAGAUUUAACUGUUGUGUGUGGUUACCUAUAAAUGUGUCCAGAGUCUAACAUGAGGGAGAAACAUGCCAAAGGUAUCUCAUAUUUGUUUUAUUUUCCUUCCAAAAUCAGGUGAAGACCGACCUUGAACGAUACUUUUAUUUCGCCUGAAUGAAUCCGCUGGUUCAGUUUACGAUGCAAAUCCCGCUCUCUCUUUCUCUCACCCCACUCUCUUAGUUGCGAACUUUGUUGCCGAAGCUUUUUCUCUAAUUAAAAGUGGAGUGAAGCUGCCAAGCAACUGUGGGGGUAAACUGCAGACCACCGAGCUUUCCCAGCACGCACGCACACAAACACACACACACACGUGCACGCACACAAAACCGCGUGCGACCGAUUGCACAUUGACACCUUCAAACAAAUCUGUUUCCAGGACAUGUCGCCCCUGACAAAUCACUUCACCCGACCCGUCUGCAUACCCUAUGUGCACUGUAUUCCCCUAUGGAGACUGACUGAUAAGGGUAGAAUUCCAUCACUGCUUCCUCCUCGCCUCAGGCAGCAGAGCCGUGGUGAAUUUUGUGCAGUUUUAACUCGUUAGCGAGCCGGCUGGAUCUCUUUUACAGUGUAUCAGACUAAAGAUAAGAAAAUGGGCUGCAGAUGUUCACGUAAGAGUCUUUUAAACCACUGUAUUGCAUUAAUAUAUCAGCUGAAUUAUUGCACACAGGAGGUCCAUCAAAAUGUCUGUUAUGUUCACACAUGCAUCUCUGCACGCGUACGCAAAACAAUCUCAACUCAAGAUCCAUUUGUUUCCUGAGCUUUGCGUAAUUUUGCAUCAACAGAUGGAGUUUGCUCAUGUCAGAGAAUUGUGUUUGAGUUCAAAUGUUAUUUUUUCCAACACUGGUUUAAGGAAAUCAAAGUCAAAGUGACUCAUGUUGUGUCAUAAAAGGUUUGAGAACAAUAAAUGUACAGUUAAGAUCAGAUGAUCCACUCCGAAUGUUGUUGAACUUGGUUAGCCUACUUUGGUCAAUACCUUAAAAAAGCAAUUUAUUCCCAAAAUAUAACCCUAUACGUUAUUGUACAUAUUUUGCAUAUUUUUGCACUAUAUUUAGUGUAUUAUAUAUAUAUAUAUAUAUAUAUAUAUAUAGAGAGAGAGAGAGAGAGAGAGAGAGAGAGAGAGAGAGAGAGAGACUCAAAAUUAAAGUGUGGCAUUUGUUGAGCUGUUUAGAAUUUUGAUUAGUUUAAAUAAUGCCAUUCAAAUGUUGGUUGAUAGACUAGGCUUUACAUCCUUUAACUUGUCAGGCUGGCGUGAAAAGGAUCAUUUAGAGUCCGAUGACGUUACGUACAUCAGAGUUGAAAAGCAUUAAUACCAUCAGCCAACAUGUGAAGCGUCAUUUAAGCUUAACUCAAAUGUCCCAAAACUUUAGCAACUGGCUGAACAAGUCUGAAGAAACGGACGAUUAUGAUAAUGUGUUGAGCGCCCUGUCGGAGACGGGAAGCAGCGACAUCUGAUUAAAGACUGGCCCGGAUCGCGGCUGAAUUAUUUAGACGAACAUCCCCUGACAGAGGGGGGAGCGACUGGAACACGGAGGGGGAAAGCGGGGGAUGUAGUGAGAGUGAUACAUGGAAGGGAAAAGGGACUUCGGCCAAGGCUCAGCCUCCCCGCAACAAUCACAUAACCACCCAUAUACAUAUGCACGGUCACUCCCCGGUGUAAACACGACCUUCAUCCAGUCCCCCCGUGUGUGUUAAGCACAAUUCCUGGACACUGUUGUUCCUUCCAAAUCAAACAGAAGCGGUCUGACUUCCUCACUAUCGCCCUGUCGUGUCAACAGUGCCGAUGGCUAAGAGAUUAAAGGACCCUCCACACGGCACUUUUUCCACACUCUGACGAUUUCGGGGGGGGGCAAACUAAUCCCUAUAAAUCGUAUCAGGGAUAUGUGAGAAACCCGACCAUAUGUGGAGGAGAUUAGAGUGGAGUUUUGGCCCUUUCUCGAUUUCCUCGCUUUUCUCACUUCAGAUAACAGGGGGUUUAGGGCACACACACACACACACACACACACACACACACCAGAGUGCACACAAACACACAAUCAAUUUCCACAUUUACCAUUGUUUUCUUUGAAAUGUAGGCGAUAAAAGCCCCAGUUAAAUGCACAAGAUUGAUGAAGCUUUUUGUGAAACUUAAACACACCCCGAUGCACGCAAACGCUCACACAUCCUCUUGACCACUUAGCCGAGCUCCUCCAUUCAGCCCCCUUCCCAUUCGCCACAAGGCAAGGCUGUCGAGGCUCUGCUCCCUGAAAACUCACAUGGCGUCAUCCCUCAUUACUUCCAAACGCCCCAAAAAAUAAAAAUCCAAUCAGUAGACUUCUUUUGAAGUGUAGAAAUGGAAAAAUUGAGCCCUGAUACAAAGCCACAUAAGACAAGCAAAACAAUAAGAAGGGAGGGAAAAGCAGCAGAAAGUCAUGAAAGCAGAGGGAUAGAAACAUGGAGCCGGGGGAUAGAUGUACGGACUGAGCAACGGAUGGUUUGAAAAAGAAACAAAAGAAGCUGAGAAGUAGAUUAUGGGCGAUCUUAUUUGAUUUCUAUCGCAGAUAUAAUGAUGGUUAGUUUUCUAUUCAUCUUCUCGGCUCAGUGGCAGCCGCAGUAGGCAAAUCAGCUUUUAGGAUCUGGCCAGUGGGCAAUGAGGGGGGCUAUUAAAGGAUCAUCACCAUCUCCUGCCAUCACCGAGCUGUUGCUCCGGAGGAAUUACCUUUUGUAAUGAGACCAACCUGAAACAGGGGCGCUCGGGGCAAGCCUGACGCACAUUACACGGGAACGCGGUGACUCACACCCACAUAUUCAUAGACACGCACGGCUUGGAUUGAUGGCGCCCACCGCCAGCCACCCACCUGUUCAUGGCCGCGCAUCAGUGGGAGUACAUGUGCACACACAGCCACGUUUACAGAAGAAAAAAAAUGCCCGCGUAGGAGGAUGACGCGCGGGAGGAUGUCGUAUUGACAUUACAGGGAUGCCACUUGUUUUCUUUCAGCUAAUUUGACCCUUCUUACUGCUCGGUGCAAAAGUUCACUCGUUUGAAUUGCUCUCAGAAAGCAGAUCUUGUGAGCACUUUGGAGCUGCUGAGUUAUGAGCCGUUAUAAACACCCUGUGACAGCAGCAAAACCUUUUCUCUGUUGUUCCAUCGUCUAAUGGAAGGUGUUCAGUAGUAAACAGUUCAAGCAAUACGUCACAACGCACAAGAUAUAUAUAUAUAUAUAUAUCUGGAACGUGCUUUUUCUUCUGCAAGAAGUAGUAAAUAAAUGUUGGUUGGAAUCAAAAGAUGUCAAGUUUUCGUAGUAGAAAAUUGAAAUUGAAAAAAUGUCCUUGCAGCAGUGACAAAUUCUCCCUCGUCGUCGCUCUAAACAAUCAUUGUCCGGGUGACCUUAAAGUCUAAAAAAGGGGACGAUGAACUGAUUUUACAGUAACGAAGGACACACUACAUUUGCAGCAAAGAAAUGUACUUUUUCUUGCUGUUAAGACUCGUCUCCCCUGGCAGCUCUACUAUUCUUUAUGCUACAGGGCGAACCGUGCUUGAUAUUCUAAAGGGAGGCUUUGGAUGGUGUAUCACUUUAAUAGUCACUGUACACUAAUCAUGCUGAUGUAUACUGUAAGCAACUCGAGAAGUUGCUGUUAAUACAAUAUAAAAAACCCAUUCAUUUUUAGAGGGACUGGGUUUUCAAAAUCAAGCAGUCCAAGUGAUGCGUUUGUAACCAUAAAGAUAGCUAUAGAAAACCUGAGCUCCUGUAACGAUCAACUUAACGUAAAACAGGGCGCACACACACACACACACACACACACACACACACCAACUAACACACACACACUACUUGUAGUACCUUUCCAAGGGCAGAACCCAUUCCGGCUUUUAUGAUGGGCCUAAAGACACGCUGUGGGCAGCAAGGGCUUCGGCCAAAAAGUCUUUAUAGCAUCAUAAACACAGUUAUAUCCCAUCUCACCAGAAUAAACAUGCUGGAGAGUUACCAAGAAGACCACUCCGGGUCACUCCUGCUCUCAGAGGACGGAGAUGGCAUUAGGAAAACCAAGAUGUUUUUAGGGAAAUAGCAAUUACCUGAAACAAAAAAUGAAUUCCAUGCUUUUGAUACGAUGCCUACGGUAGGUCUUGAAGGUUGUGUUUCAUGUACCUCUGUGGUAUUAAAGUAUCUGCAUUUGAGUGGAAGAGUGGAAGAAAAAAGGAGAAAGUACUGACCACAACAAUAGAUUACACCUUUUUUCAAAUGUUGUGAUGUAAUAAAUAGCGGCGUUAUUUGACCGGACAAAUUCAUUGUAUUCCUGCGCUGUUGUUAAGUUAAUAGUUGGCUUAUUAUUACUGUAAAUGAAGAUGGAAUGGAGCCUAGGAAUGAAGAAAGUAAAACCCUUUUGAGCAGUUUACCAUAGUGUCUCUGCUUGGUAUUACUGUUAUGAGAUGUCAAGGCUGCAAGAUUAGUAGUUUGACAUAUUUGAGGACAUUGAGGACAUCGCUUCAAACGUCUCGUUAGGGAAUAAAUGCAGUAUUUAAAAAAGAAAAUGCCAGCCCUCACGUUGGAAACAUCUUUGUAGAGUGAGUGGCAUUUUUGCUUGAUAAAUUACUUUAAUUUAAAAACUAGUAAAUCAUCCAUUAAAUGCAUCUUAGUCAAAGUAUAAAAACGAAAGCAGUGCUUGAUGAAGAAUGUGCCGUCUGACCUGGAUUUGGCUUCUUUUACAUAAGCAGAACUCAUUUUCUUUCGUGCUCUCUCUCUCUCUCUCUCUCUCUGCCUCCGUCUGUUUGCCUCACUCACCCUUUCUGAGAUGCACUUACGCCGAGGCACAGAUUUACAUACACACAAUAGGCAUAAGGGAUUGUGAGUGUGAGCGCAGGGCGAUGGCAAGUUCUGUUGCCUCUCAGAAGCACACUGAGACGGAGAUCACAAUUCUGUCGGUGUGAAACAAGCCAUUCAGUCUGAGAGGCGUCAAGCAUGAUAAUCCCAAAAGAGGGCAGGUGUAUGUGUAUACUGUAUAUGUGUGGCCUAUAUUCUGCAGACUGGUUAAUAGGAUUAUGUGAGAGUAGGCAUAUGAAAUGUAUGUGGGAAAUUAUUAAUGCAUGUGAGACACCCGGGUGAAACCGUGAGUAGAAUCUGCACGCUUUGCAUGCGUGUAUUUCUCUAUUUGCAUGCAUGACUGAUAGUGGCAGAUAGUGAUUUGUAAAGCAAUGCCAGCAAAUCUACCACUAUAUGAGGUUGCACAGGUAGAGAAUGUUCUGUGCACCGGAGGUUGCCCCGCACUCAAAGAGUAGGGAAGCACACUUUCCCCAACUUUAUAAUAAAAAAAACUUUAGGUUUCUAAGCUCUGCAAUGUACUACUGGUAUGGAUCUAGAGAGGAAAAUUGGAUUCCUAUAACGCUUAUGAACUCAAGUGAACAUGACCGGCUUAUAAGCCCUUAAGAGUGGGGCUGUCAGAUACUCCCUAGAAGAGAAAAAAAGAAGAGUCACCUGGCAUGUUUGGAAUGGGAGAUGUCCUCUGGAAUAUCUCUCUCUCCCUCUCUCUGUCUACUGCUCUUUAUCUCUCUUGUGCUCCAAAACAGUGGAGCAGGUGUGUUGUAUGGCUCAAAGUGCCGAGGCGCAUUGAGGUGUGGGUUGUUUGCUCUCCUGCUCUCUCUUUGCACGCCUUCCAGCCAUGCAGAUAGUGGGUCCCAAUGAUGGCAGGAAAAGCAAAAGGUUGUUUGCUGCAUGAGCACUGAUCCUCACCACCACUGCAGUCAUACACCCCCCCCCUCCCCUAAUACCCACCUUUCUCUCCUGUCCUGUUUUACCUUCUGCUUGCUCGGGCACUGUCAUUUUGGUGUAUAGCAAUUUUUUGCCUUGAAUGAUUAGUACAGAAUAUUAAUAUCAUCUCUGUAGGUCAACUGAAAAGAAUAGCCACCGUGUCACUCUAAACAAAAAGGGUUUUAUAAUCGGUUCCCCUGUUGUCAAAACAGUCAAAGAUUGAUGUCCUUUACACGGCGUUGUUAGCUUUCAUUUUGGGGAAAUUGAAUCGCGAUUAUCCAACUUCGAGGCCCUUUCACCAUGAUCUGACAAAACUGGAGGAAACAUUUCCAAGCACACCUGCUUGCAAACAUUUGAUCAGAUUUUGCCAUGAGAUUUGCUUAGAUGGGAAUGCAAUACGAGAUAAGAAAGCCUCGUCGGUCUGCAGGGAUGCGCUUCCCUCAACUGACUGGCUGGGUCGUGCAAAGUGGGAACAGUGCCAUCUAGUGAGGUUUAUGCAUAUGCAUGCUGUUUAAAGGGUCUCAGCCAUGUGUCUAUUGUCCAUCCUCUUUAAAAAUGAACAAGUGUAUCUUCAAAAAAAAAUACCCUCGUACAUACCUCUUCUAAAAAUACUCAAGGACCUGACAAAGUGAAGGAAAGCACCCACGGCCUCUGACCUCAGCCACAAUGAGCCAGUAAACGCAGCUCAGCAACAACUGCCCUGGAGCCAAACAUCCCAGCGUGACUCAGAUACAAUCUUGACGUUGUGUUUCUUGAUAAUCUAAUUGCUCCUCUGACCCAGACUGCCCACACCUCUACCUUGUUAAUACACCCACAGAACAAACCGAUGUAGUCUAUCCCUUAGGUUACUAAUCCAAUACGCUCUUGAUUACUGCGACUUGACCCCAAGCCCUGGACUGAUUGAUUAAACUAUCAGACACCCCUUUGGGAAAGGUUAUAAUCAAUAAAUUUGACCAUCACAAAAUCUGCUCGAUGCAAAGGGUGUUGGGGAUUUUUGUAUGAUAUAUUGGGAGUGGAAACAAAUCAAUAAAUUACUUCGGCAAUCAAAAGCAGUCACUCAAAGAUGGUUUGCUGUUGGAUUAGAGGCAGACUUGCUGGAGGAGGUUCACUGCGAGGCAAACAAUGUUCUUCUUAGAGACAGCAUGUUGACUAAUGUGUAGGGGGGGGAGGCUGUGAUUCAGGGUCAAGGAUGGAUAUUGGUGCUGUGCCAGUCUGGAUGCGGAGAAUGGGUGAUGAGUCUAGAACCAACGAUCAAACUCGCACGCCCAUUUGGUUGAUUUAAGACGUCAAUUAACAUUUUGUCUUUGGGGACUGUAUAGUAGUUAGUAAAGGCGAAAUUGAAUUGGACCAUGUAUAAUCGAAAUGAAACAAAAACAUUACAAUCUUUAACAAAUAAUUUGACCAUGUACACCAAAGAUACCUUGUUUUAAUGAAAACCAGAGUAGAUUUAAUGGAAGAGCAAAAAUGACUCCUGACUGAGGAGACAUUUUAAAAAUAUCUUUCAGGAAUGACAAGAUUCAGACAUCAAGAUGAUUAUCAGUGGGACAUGAUGCAUGGCCUCUCUUUCCCUAUCACGACCCCAGUAGAAUACAAUAAAGAUACCACAAAAGCUUCACAUGUGACUUUUAGAAAAGACGUAUAUCAUGAAAGAGAUAAAUAAAAUAUAUGCUUUUAGGAAUUUUCCCAAUCUAGGAGCCCUCCUCUUUCAAACCUGUUGGAAAUUCUGCAAAACGUCAGCUAAACCAAUGAAUUGAACCAAGCUUUUCAAUUGACAGGCAACCAUAGUCCUUUCCUAAAUGUUACAACGCUCGCAGAGUCAAAGCAAAAUAAGUUGACAUUGUCGACUCAAUUGAACACAUGAAGAGAGACCUUGGUUUUAUGCGAAGCAAAUUGCAGAGACAACCGUGGCUGAGGAUUACUGACUGAAGCGAUAAAGCAAGUGUUUUAUUCCCGUGUGUGUUUUUGUGCCGGUGGAUAACUGUUUGGAGUGUGCCUGAUAAAAACCUACUCGCCAUUCUAAUGUCCAAGUCAAGCUGGCCACAGUGAUACGAGUAAUGCUCACUAUCACAGGCAGGCAGGGAGUGGAACAAUUGGCUUGUCAAAUAAGAGCCACUUGACAACUUCUCAAAGAAGAUCAAUUAUGGCCAGUCUUUGGAUCAAAGCUCUGACACAACUGCAACUUUGUGGCACACAGGAGCAAAAGCAAUGCCUUCCCGGUCAUGUCAAAGCACUUUAAUAGUCUGGGUCGUUUUACAGAAAAGCCCUCAUUGCAUGACCAAUUAUUAAGGGAUGUAAUUUGCAUAUUACAGUAGCCUUUGACUGCACAGGCAGCCGUCUCCACUUAACCAUCUGCUGAAAAAAACACAAUUAAACCACUACCUGCAGGCUUAUGUGGCAUGACAUGGGGGGAGGUGGACACCCUACGACGAUGAUGAGGUAAAUCCAGAGGCACAGUCAGGACAUUUUCAAGGAGCAGUUAGUUAUCUUUGGUACAACGGUACCAGGUUAUAGACCCGAACCCCCACUGCCGCCAUAGCCCCGCCCCCACGAACUAUCCUCUUACUUAGGAGAUGAUUGUGACAAUAUUACAGGCAGGGGAUGUGAUUACAAGAUCUUAAUCGCCUGUAAUUUACCCGUCAACCCUGUCGCUAAUAUGCGGCUGCUGUGCUCUGGUGGACACAGACACUGAAUGACACCGGCGUCCUCCGCUGACAACGUCUGAUCCACAUCAUGGGCAUUGAUAAUUAAUCAUUGAGACAACAGAGUGGGGGAGCACAGCGAACUAAUGGGGUGAAUGCCGGCCAGGUUAAUUUGGGGUUCAUUGAAUUAUCGUGUAAAUUAGGAGGAUGUCGUAAAUUACAACAGGUCAGUAACGACGAAAGAAAUGGAAAACUUUGAGAGAAAAAGGGAAGCUUUGUGCAGCAACAGCAGAAUAUAUGUUCUCCCAGGUAAUUAAAUAGAAGCACAGCUCACCAAUUAGAAAGGCUUUUGUAUUGUGAGAAGAGAGGCCAUUCUGUGGGUUGUAAAAGUGGGAAUGACCUGCAUGCGCCUGGUCAGAGGAAAAGAGGCAAAGGACAGAUCACUGCUGUGUAAAUCUGUGAACAUGCAGAGAUCCAGGCUGAGCGGGGAGAGAGAGGUUGAUGAAUGGAGGACAAUAGAAAGGCAAUUGUAUUAAGAGGGAGGGGCGAGUUUAAAUAAUAGGUAACGUGAUUACAAUAAGGUAAAGAAUGCAGAGAGAAGUGUCUGUAAAGGUGUGUGGGGGGAGCACUGGGCUGGGGGUGGGACAAAUUUAUCUGCACCCCAUUUCUUUACCGAAAUCCCUCGGCACAUCUCCUAAGCCCAUCCGGCACAUCUCCUAAGCCCAUCCGUCAUCUGACGACUUCCCAGUCGUUGGGAGACAUCAGCAAAUAUUGUCAAUUAUUGACAACACACCCAAAAGCGUAGACAACAUUUCAUUUGCAUCAAGCCUUUUACUCUCCUAUUUGUUUGCUUCCCUCUCACAGGGACACGUUGUUGACUUGAAUAUCUCACUACCGCUGCUGAUUCUGGAGGAAACGGACGCAGUGCUGGCUUGUUAAGGAAUGGGCCGUUAGCUUAAAUGUCUUAGAAGUCUUUUUGUUGUUGUUACUUGUGUUUUGCGCAUAUGCCAGUGACACAGACUUUCAUCACAGUGGCACUCCACAUGGCUCCGCAAUGGGGCCUAUGCAGAUUAGGGCCUUUGCAGAGAGAACCCGGUCUAAUCAGCUGUUCUGCUCAAAGGCAAACCGUGUGAAUAUGGUGAUGAAUACAUGACAUAAAAGAGAGGAGAGGGAUAGAAUAGAGACAGAAUUAAAGAGCCGUGGAAUAAUUACUGAGACGUUAAGGAGCAUCAUCAGUCCAGCAUUCGCGCGGACAGGAGGGGGAGGGGGUGUCAUUAAGUGAAUAAGGCAGACACCGUGAGGGAUGUCAUUAAUUAAAAACACCCAAAUACUACACACAACGGAGGCACAGGCCAAAGAUUGAGAAACCAAUUCAGAGAAUAUUUUUCCGAGAAUAAUGGUAAGAAACGCAAAUAUGUAGUACAGUUACAUGUAGGGAAAAUCCCUGCAGAAAAAGUUAUGCGUAUGAAUAGAAAUGGAACACCGCAGAAUCAUACAUUUCCUGCGCUCAUAUCCUCGAGGGCAAAGCCCUUGUUAAGAGGUAGAGACUCUCCUUGGCACCAGAAUAACCUCCGGUCCCCAGGUAAUUAAGUUUCUCAUGUCCUGGGUAUUUGUUGUUGCUUAACGAGAGCGCUCCGUACUCCUCUCAUGUCCUGAACGGUAAUUAAUUUAAAAUAGGAAGAUGAGGAGGUGGAAAAUGAAGGGCAGCAGGAAGGCAAAGUGGAAACUUGUCCUUUCUGCUGACCUGCUGGUUGCCCUCACGGCUUAUGCCUCCACCCCCCUUCGCCCCCGUCUUUCUGUUCCUCUAUUAACUUGCUGCUUUUUUACCCCAGUGGGCUGUUUGACAAGCUGCCACUUCUAAUGCCCUCAGUGCAAUGGCCGUUGUCAACUUCCAUGAAUGCUUAUAUCUAUCAGGGCUUCAUCUAGAAUGGAAGAUAACUUUCCAUUCUCAAAGUGAAUAAAAAUAAUGUUUAAUUUCAGCCACGAGACAUAGUAAGUUUAGAGAGCCAACGAUAAUACAGGUUGCAAGAAAAUAAUAUGAUAAAGAUAUUCAGAUGUGUGACUUUAUUAUUUUCUUGCAACCUGUGUCUUUUUUAUCCAUCCAUGCUCCCUGUAUAUUUCUCUCUCUGCUUCUCUUCCUCCAUAUCGAUGAGGAGUGUUGGAUGUUGCUUUAGCAGUGAUCAAUUGACCACUGUGACCUUGACCAAAAUCUAAAUGCUGUUUAACUUCUUUCACAGGAAAAUUGUAUGAGGAUGUACUGACUUGUCAUGAUUGCACGUUUUUUGUCAAUAGGCAGGAUCACAAGAGGAAUUGAAAUGGAAUAAGGUUUAAUUGUAUUGUGUUAUCUGCAAUUAUUUCAUAGAAGGCACUAUAGAAGAUAUGCAAUGUCAUACAUUUGAUGAGAUGAGGAGGAGGAAUGAACAGGCAAAGGAAAUGAAUGUGAUGUAUUGCCGUUAAUAAAAGAAAUACCACGAGCGCAAAACUCUGCUAUACAUUAAAAGCACGACUUGCUAAUUUAAUCACCUAAUUUGUGUUGGGCAUUUUGGAUGGCUCAGGAGGUAGUUGGUCUCUGUGCCAGUGGAGGUCACCUCUGUGUCACUCGCUACUUCCUCGCUUGCUUCCCGUGCGGAUACAAAGCCCGGCCUGACGAUAUCCCUGCCUCAAUUAUACUUUCAAGGUGGUUGUGGUAAGAGGUGUGAAGAGGAAAAGGAGACGGAGGCAAAGCGAGUGAAUUGGGGUAGAAAUGGUUUUUGGGGCUGGACCGCAAAGUGAAAUGAGCUAUAAAUAUGCCAGAACCAGCUAUUAAACUAACUAAACUAUUAAAAGUGUGGCCAUCUGGGGUUUUGCAGGGUCAUCUGUUAGUCACAGCAACAGCACGCGAUUGAUCAAACAGCCAAUGUGAUGAUUAGCGAUGUUUAAAGGAAAGAAAGAAGGCAGCCAGGGAUUGUUAAGCGUACGCCUGACACAAACAAAAAGUGUCAAGGUGAAGCACGGCCGCAUGUUGAAGUAAAAAAAAAAGCAGAUCUGAAGUUUUCAGGCCGCCCUUCAGAUGGAAAAUUGAUGAGUAGGAUAAGUGCCCACGGUCGUGUCAUUAUUUGCCUGAAAGCGACGGCGAGAUGUGAGAAGAUGGAGGACCAGUUCAUCACUUUUAGGGUUCACGUUGCAACGUGCUUGAGCGAAUUCUCCUAAAGAGACGCACUGGACAUUGCACGGCAAACAAGAUGAGCCCCCCCCCUCCCAACUGCAUGUCAAACACACCAUCUCGGCCCGAGGGAUGUCUUGGCAUUAUUGACUGCGGUGAGCCUGAACAAUAACGCCAGCAGCUUGAGAGUAGGACAGGUUAUGAACAAGCAUCUGAACAAAUCUAUGACUGCGUAUUUGAUGCAUAGCAAAUUGUCUGCUCUGUAUUGUGCUCCACUUUCUGGUUUUUCACUCACUCCGCCUCGCAUCGCCCCGUCUCGCUGUGAGAGCCAACCUCGGGUUAUUUGUUCGUUGUGCAUCGUAACCCUCUUCAACCGAACCUCUGCUUUGACCUCCUGUUGGUCUCCAUGUCACAAAGCUUCCAGUUGCAGCAACUGUAUAAUUGAUAUCGUUAAAUAAUGUAACGUUAAGUUGACUGAUUAAUGUAAGCAAAGGCAUGAACUAAAUAUAUUGUUAAAUGCAGGGUUUACUUUCAGAGAGAGCAAUAUGGUAGAGGUCCUCUCAUUUCAGAGCAAAUUAGAUGAAUAAGAUGAAAAAAGAUUAAGAUAAGAUUAUCCUUUAUUAGUCCCACAGUGGGGAAUUUGCAGGAUUACAGCAGCAAAGGGGAUAGUGCAACAACAAGAGACGUCGGGGGAAAACAAAACGAAAAACAAAGCAAGUAUAAUGAAUAAUCAAACAGUAAAUCAUAUUCUAACAUACCAGAUGAUUCAAAAUAAACUGGCCUCUGUUCCCAUUGCACUUGUAAACUCACGUUACCCCUGUGCAGAACUAGAUCUAUUGCAAACAUCACAGGCAGCCACCGGUUACAGCUCCUAGCGGUAUCAUGUGGAUGUCAGUUUGGAGAGGAAAAUAACUGCAAUUGAUGGUCAAAGAAUAUGUUUUCAUAUCCGUCAGAAGAAAAAACAGGGGUGCUUCGUUCUUAAAUGUGUAGUUGUUUUAUACAAAAUACAAAACAAAUUCAGUUUUUUGACAAUUGUCUUGUCAAUGUUCUUUCGAAUCUGUCACAUUUUGGAACAGACUAAAGAGCCACAUGUAGUCAGAACAAUGCUUAUUUCUAUGCCAAUUUGUAUUAAAAGAAACCAUUUUGCCUUCUCUCUUUUUCUGGUUUAAUUUUUUUUUAACACAGAUUUUAACAGGAUGCAGUUGGAGAGGAUGAAAUACGUCUUUUGGCUGUCCCGCUUUAGGUUGUCUGAAAAAGUUUAUUUUUACAUAAAAAUCUGACCAACUACAUCUUAAAUCUUUUAAGGAUGACUGACUACAAGCUGCCUGUCCACAGCUCUUAGCGCACUAGUGAAGCAUGUUGCCGUGUUUGUGCAGAAAAAAAAAGAUAAUCCCCCUUUUGCCGUGGUUUUAAACCGAGCCCAGGAGACACAGGCAUAUUAUGAAUCUGAUGGUUUCUGUUUGUGCCUGCAGGCUACUCAUGUCUGGGGUAAGUAAACUUCCAUGUCGCCUGUCAAUGUUCCUGCUCCGUCAAACACAAAAAUGGAGCAAAAUGACUUGGCACGCUAAACAAACAGCGGACUGACGAGGCCGCGGACAGAACGGUGCGAGUUACAACGUGGGCAGCAAGUGACGGCCAGAAAGUGACAUGGAGAAGUACGGGAGAGGAGGACACUGAGUAAUAAGGCAGACCACCCGGGGAGGAGGGGAGAAAAAGAAGUAGAAGAAGAAGAGCCAAGGAUGGGUGAUUCAAGUGAGAAUCAUCACGCAAGAGAAACAAAGGUUAUAAAAUGCCACUAAGAGAGACAGCUAGUGGGAGUGAGCGGAUACAACAUCGCGGUCCGUCACAGAGCUGCUGUAGUAUUCCUGCCGUUAACAAUAGAAGCGGAUUGAGUUGGACAGGGAUCACCGGCCCGAACAGAAGCCAACCAGACAAAGGUAUUGAGUGGCACGGAUGUGUUAUCUGCCCCGGCUGCUGAAUACUCCCCUUCUGCCGAAAGGUGAGCGCGAGAUCAGGUUGCAGCACCCACCGAGGGGCUUUAGGCCGCCCUGAGAUCCCAGGACCUCCAGUGGAAGGAAGGAGGAGAGUGACGCGGAAGGCAGUAGGAACGUCCUUUAACUAAUAAGCCGCUCGGCCCCGUUGUCAUUAUAAAUCAGACAGAAGAGCAACAAUUGCCGCAGCCUCGUCAAUUUUUGUUUUGUCCGAUGUACAGCUCCGCUGCAUUGUCAUUGGACCAUGCAUACUCUAAUUAUCCGAUUCACAAAGGACAUCAUAACCGCUAACUGCAGUACAUGAUCCCCAUUAUUUCUCCAUGAGAUGUCGUGUUUGUAAUGGACAUAUUAUCUCAUUGAUCACAGCUGCUGUUACCAUUCUAAUUACUACAACAGUGUCAUUUAGAUGGUAAUUUGAGCAUUUCUUACCAAACAUUGAGCUAUUCAUCAUAUUCAUUUCCACAUUCCUAUGGGAUUGCCUAUUGUUCUUGAACAUCAACAAGGCUCGAUGAGAUUUUGGACGAAGGGACUGCAGGGGGGGGGGGGGGACGGACUCUGGUGUCGUUCCUGUACAUUUUGGAAUAAGGGAUUUACACAAGGUUGACCUUUUGUCCAAGGCCGUCCCCAUUUCUGGCCCUGCCUCUGCCUUCCGACUGACUCUUGUCACGGAGAAGGUCUUAUAAAUAUGGAUGGAUGAUUUUUCUCGAGGUCGUGAUGCAAUUCCAGAGGAAGGAGGGGAUUUUUUUUUUAAAUGUGUGAAAAAAUGUCCAGUUGAACUGAAUCUGCAGCUUUAGCCAAGGUUGCUUCUUGAUAUUUUCUAUCUUAUAUGGGUACCUCGUGAUUUAUUUAUUUCCGUCACAGCUUGUACCACUGUAUUGAAUGAAGUGAAAAUGACAGAUCUUAAUAUCAGAGACUGCAACCCAUUAUAUGAGCUCUGGAAGGAAUGAAACUGUUUGCACGCUCAAAACAGUGAUGCCGUUUGGAUGUACAUAAAUCACACAAAGUAAUGUACCUGUUUGCUGCGACUGUAAAAUCUACCCCAUCAACAUGUUUAGGAUUUGUCCCCACUGGACAAUCUAAUGCCUUUCAAAGAUUUUCAUUCAGCUAUUAUAGUUGGCGAGCUGUGCGGUAGAUGCUGAGGUCAAAAGGGCACAUCCCGCCAUUUUUAAAUUCUGCCGAUGAGCUGGAACAGAGGAGCAACAUUCGACUGUACUGAGUCCUUCGGUGCACAAAUCUUGUCAAAAGCUUGAUGCUUCAAAAGGAACCUUAUCUAAACUAUUUGUAAGAGUAUAUUAUUUAAGCAUAAACCCACAGCCAAAAGGUCUUUGUUGGAUAAAUUGUUGUGUUGAUCACAUGUUGGUACAACUUGACACCAGGAUCUGCUCGUCAUGUUACAUCGAUCUUAAAUUUGACUCCGGAGAUGCAUCUGACAGCCACUGUCCCCCACAAGCGUUUUUUACGCACGACUUGCGCCACUACAAUGCUCAGCCCGCCCCCUCGCGUCUCUUCUCUCCCACCACCUCAUCCUUCAGAAGCACACGGUAACACACACGCACACAGUCACGAUGUGCAUCUUAUUCAUUGCAUAUCGCUCAGAACUCAUCAAGAGGAACAGUUGUCAUCAAAAACCGAGAUAAAGAAUCAUUGUUUUGACAGCUUUGCAAACAGCUCUGGUGGCCCGAGUGUGGAAGACAAAUUGUCUUGUGAUGAUCUUAAGUGUAGUUUUUUUUGUGCGUGUGCAAGCACGUGAAGCCCACUUCUACGGCACGGUCGUUAUUUUCAAAAAAGUCGCUUACGGCAGCGCAAGCUACACCCUUCAUGCAGUUGGAAGCACGUCCUUGGCGGGAAAACCCAGCAGGAGAAAAGGGAGAGAGCUUGAACGAGAUAGACUGACACAUUUUGAAAUAUAUAAAGAGAGACGGGUCUGCAUGCAGAGGGAGAGAGGCUGCUUUAUCAACCAAAGCAGCAAAGGAAGGCUGAAUAUAUUUAGGAAGAACUGACAUAAAUGAUACACGUGUACUUGACAUAAAUACACAACAGUCUAAAUUGAUGGAUUUAACAAAUAAUGAAUAAAUAUAUAAAAAUAGUCUCAAAGCAAUUACUGAACUUGCCUUCGCAAGAAAACGAAAAUGAUUGAAUUUGUGAGAUAUCAGUAUGCCAUGAAGGUCAGAGAUAAACUUUCAGUGUUUUUAAUUUCUAAUUAGAGAACAUGAUGUGCAAAUAUGUAUUAUACAUUCAAUGUUAUUCAUUAGAUUCCUGGCCUUCCACCUAACAUUAUAAGUAAGUAUGUACAUCAAUGAAAAUAGGAAACAUAUUAUAUGAUGUUAUUUUUUACCAGUAAGCCUUAGUUGAUUAAACUGAAAAAGUCGUUUUUUGUAUGCGCAGAUUGUUGGAACUCUAAUGUGCGAUGUUGCACGGUUGGUUUUUUUCAAAGAAAAAAACAUGACUCGAUCUCGGAUAUCCAAUAAUUUAUGUAUAACUAUUGCUGAAUCAUCCAGGCUACCCGCUCGUCUUUUUCCUUCUUAAUGCAUAUUAAUUGGAUUUCCAACCAUUUUUGGAUGUCCUGCACACAGUUUUAUUGUGUAUGUGCGUAUUUAUAUGCAUGUAUUGAAUACUAUUAGGGACUAGGUGAUUGCUUAUAUUCUUGAAAUUGCUUUUCUGACACCACAUGAAAAAUGUCCUAAAUCACGUUCAAAGAUAGUAGAAAAGAACAGGCCGAUGUGACAAGCACCAAGGCAAAUUAAACAUCUGAACAAGAAAAAAUACAUAUUAACUCGUAAUUUAACGGUUAGAACAGAAUGUAUUACAUCUAUGUCUUGAAAUCUUAAAUAUUCAAUUACAACUCUUUGUUGAGAUUUGUGACACAUUGGCGGCUUACUGAUUGACUCACGGUUAAGAAUGGAUCAUCAUCUCAAGGUAUCACCAGUCUGUUCAACUCAAUGAAACAUUG
ensembl:lncRNA